rnacentral:lncRNA from 1 species
AGAAUUGAAAGGUUGGGUAGUGUGUUGAUGAGUCUAGAGUGCGUUUGUCCCUGGUCGGCUGAUUUCGGAUAAUAUUGUGGUGGGUUAUGAAUGCAUGCAUUGGCUGAGAAAUCAAAAACAAGGGAAGAAAGGCUUCGCGGCGGCAAAACUAGACAUGAGUAAAGCGUAUGAUCGUGUGGAGUGGGGGUUUUUGGAGUCGAUCUUGGCGGCUAUGAGAUUUCCUACUCGUAUGAUCAAGGUUAUCAUGGAUUGUAUUUCCACUGUUGAGUUUUCGGUUGUGGUGAAUAGUAGGGUUUAUGGGGCUAUUACUCCUUCAAGAGGGAUUAGGCAGGGAUGUCCGCUCUCCCCUUUCCUCUUUGUCCUGUGUGCUCAGGGACUUUCUGCUACUCUCCAUGAAUUUGCUCGUCGUAAGCUUUUCGAUGGUCUAAAGGUUGCUCGGGCUUGUCCGGUGGUUUCCCAUCUGUUUUUUGCUGAUGAUAGUUUGCUGUUUUUUAACGCUAGUUCGGGUGGCGCUCUGGCGAUUAAAGAAGCUAUCGAAACUUAUUCUAGAGCUUCGGGGCAACUGGUGAAUUUUGAGAAAUCGGCUGUGUCGUUUAGCCCGUGUACGACAAGAGAAGAUAUGAAUGAUGUGGUGGCUGCUUUGGGAGUGAAGGAGACGCAGGGCCAUGCUGUUUAUUUGGGGCUCCCUACGUUCAUUGUGAGACAAAAGAAAUUGCAGUUUGAUUAUCUUAGAGAAAGAGUGAGUAAGAAGUUUAGCUCGUGGAAAAAUAAACAUUUCUCAGCGGGUGGAAAAGAAGUGCUAUUGAAGUCUAUUAUUCAAGCGAUGCCUACGUAUUCGAUGAGCUGUUUCCGUAUUCCUCAGGCGGUUUGCAAUGAUAUUGAGAAGGAAUGCUGUAAUUUCUGGUGGGGUGUGUCUAAGGAUCGAAAGAAAAUGCACUGGCGUUCAUGGAAAAAUCUUUGUGAACAGAAAUCGAAGGGGGGCAUGGGGUUUAGAGAUCUGACCGCUUUCAACCGCGCUCUCUUGGCAAAGCAAGUAUGGAGGUUGAUAAAAUUUCCUGAUUCCCUUGUUGCUCGAGUCCUUAGAGGCAGAUACUACAAUAAAGGGGAUAUUAUGGAGGCCACGGUUUCUUGUAACGCGUCGUAUGUUUGGCGGUCGUUUUGUUGGGGUGGAGGUUUGUUGAAAGGAGGUCUUAGGUGGAAGAUUAGGGAUGGGAAGAAGGUGAAGGCGUUUACGGACUCUUGGAUUCCUUCUGAGGCUGGCAUGCCGAGAAUCCGGGAGGAGGGUGAGGAUCUCUCUCUGGUGGUGGCUGACUUUUUUAAGGAGGAUGGAAAUUGGGAUUCGGAGAAGCUUGCUGAUUCGUUUCUUCCUUACGAAAUAUCAGCGAUAUUGUCUAUCAACAGAGAACAGAGGGCUGGUUCAGAUGAGCGGUACUGGAGGUUUGAUGAGAAUGGCAGAUUUACUGUUAAGUCCGGUUAUCUCUAUGAAGUGGGGUUCUAUUCGGGGCAUGUUUCUACGACCUCGCUAGAGCAGAAGCGUUGGUGGAGUCGAGUUUGGCGAGCUAAUAUUCCACCUAAAGUCAGGGUGUUUAUGUGGCGGGCGACACACAACCUUCUUGCGGCAGAUGAAAAUUUGCGCCGUCGACACGUCCCGUGCUCGGGAAUCUGUUCCUGGUGUUCUAAAGAUUGGGGUUCCACAGUGCAUUGUCUUAUUUUCUGUGAGAAAUCUUGCUUGGCUUGGAAGAAGACGCAGUGGUGGUUGUUUCUUAAAAGCAAAAAACAUUUUUCCAUUGAGGAUAUUUGUCGAGCAGUUGGUGAUACAUAUGAUAAUGAGGAUUUUGAGCUUUUUUGUAUGAUGCUAUGGUGGACUUGGAAGUGGUUGUGUAAAGUGAAACAUGAUGUGGGCUUUAAGGAUGAACUAGAGUUGGUGGAGACCUGCGCGGGGUUGCUGAAUUCAUUCCAGGAAGCUCGACGGAAAAUGGCAGUUUAUGAUCGGCUUUUGCCUAAAGAAGGAGAUAGCAGCUGGAUUCUUCCUCCACCGGGUAUGUUUCGGUUGGACACUGAUGUGUCUUUUCACGACGAUGAUGGUGCCAUGGGGGUUGGCUUUAUUGUUCGUGAUUCAACGGGGAAGAUUACUGUUGCUGCGGCGCACAGGGUGGGCAGAACUGAGACUGUUUUAAUGGGAGAGCUUCACGCUAUGAUGCUCGGCAUCGGCUAUUGUUUGGAAAAUGAGAUUGGCCCGCUUGUGGUGUACACCGACUCUCUUUUGGCUGUUCACGUGGUUCAUGAAGAGUCGAGAGGGAUGGAUUCUCUCAGUGAUGAUCUGUUUGACGUUUUUGCUCAUGCUAAGGAGCAUAUUGUUUUGAAUUUUUGCCAUGCCCGUAGGGAAGCUAAUAGGGCGGCACAUUGUUUGGCGAAUCUUGCCAUGUCUUCUUCUGAUGUAAUGAUCUGGAAGUCAGGUUUUCCAACCUGGCUGUCGGAUAUUGCUCGUCGUGAUUUAAUAUAGUUCUUGGGUUUCUCCUCAANAAAAAAAAGAUUUUGAGAUAAAUGAACAUAUAAGUACAUUUUGAUGAACUUGUCAAUUAAUUUUUAUGAACGCGCGUUGGUCUGGGGUUCAAUCCCUACAAGUGGCGUGUAUUUUAAAUAAAUUAAAUAGAUUCAUAUGUUCAUGAGUUAUAUUGGUUAUGUUCAAAAAAUUUAUUGAUAUGUUCAUUUAUCUCUAAAUUCAUUAUAUAUAUAAAUGUGUGAGUGUAUGUAUGAGAAAUUAAAAGAAAAAUUUUUCCAUACUUACAAAAGUUACUUGAACUAUUGAUUUGCAUGAUUUACAAUUAUUAUAAAAUACCUAUUAAUCUUUAAAAAAAAUAUUACACCUAACAAUUAAUCUAGUAUUACAUAUUCACUACGAGUGUAUUUCGUUUACAUAUAUAUCUACUUCAAACGUGUCUUUCUCUUUUGAGAUUAUCUUAAUUUAGUUAGUUCACUUUUGUUAGUAUAUGUGGAAAUUUUCAAACGUAAAUAUAUUUCUUUUAUAUUAAAUGAAAAAUAAACAACCUAUUUGCUUAAUUAGGUUUGACCAUAUAUAUUAACAUUAUAUAAUUUGACGGAGAGAACAAGAUUAUAUAUUCAAAAAAAAAGUUUACAAUUAACAGAAAUUCAUAGUGGAUUAUCUAUUUUACUAAAUUUCUUAUUGUAAUUUUCAUAUUUCAUGAACUGAACUAGAAAAGCUACGAAUUAUUCAGAAACUGUAAAAAAAAAAAAAAAUGGAUGCUGUUCAGAUAAAUCAAUAUUUAUAUAUCAACAGUCACUAACUAAACAAAAUGUGACAAAAUCCGAGAUUAAAAAGUUCAAAUAAUGUAUAUACACAAGAUAUAAUUCCUCAAAAAAAAAAAAAUUACAAUGAAAUCCUUGCAACCAGCUAAAAUCGAAGUUGCAGACUUUUCAUUCUCAAAAAAAAAAAAAAAGGUUUAAUUCCACACCUUUCUUCCAUGUUACUACUUUCUCUCUCAUCAGUCAGAUUUUGAUCAUCAACCGUUCCCUAACUUUCUCGGGGAACCAGCCCUCGAACACCACCAAGACGACGCCGUUGAAGCAGCUGAGCAGCCAGCAGACCUUGUCGUGGAGCCUCCGCCACCAGCGGCGGUCGACCUCGCCGAUCCGCCGCUCCGCCAUCAUCGGCUGCAGGUACGCCCACGCCGCGUGCUGCAGCAGCGGAUCCUUGAUCGGAAUCUCCCGCCAGCUCGGCGAGGGCGGAGACUCCGGCGUCAAGUCCUUCAAGCUCGUGUAGUUGAUGCCGCGGACGGCGAUCAUCUCGAUAUCGUCGUCGUCGUGAUCGAUGAUUCCGUUCGGUAACGAAAAGAUGCGGCGAUUUAGGGAGAAUUCGCGGCGGUUGCUGUUAGGGUUAGCUAUGGAUUCGUACAUUAUUGAGCGUGAAUUUGAGGUGUUGAUUUUGCAGAUUUGGGGGAAAAAAUGCUUCCAUGGGCGAGGAGAUUAUAUCAGUUGGGAGUGUAUGUAGUGAAGGAAAGAUUUGAGUGAGUGAGGAUGAGACCACACGUGUCCGAUGAAAGGUGGGUCCCAACCACCCGCGGUUUUUGCGUGGCUUGAAAUUGUCGUAUCUGUAUCCCAACACCAUUUUAGAUUUUGAUGAAUUGAGAAUAUAUAUAUAUAUAUAGGAUUUAAAUUUAUAUGUUGCAUUCACCAAUCAACAUGAAGCAUUCAUCGUAAAUAUUCAUGAUCGAAGGAUUAAGAAUGGUUCUUUGUUUUCAUUUUAUUAAAACCACUAUAUAAAAUGAAAAUGAAUAAUUAUUCUCAAUCUUUUGAUCAUGGAGAUCUAUACUAGAUGUAUCAUCCUGAUAGAUGAAUGCAUUACCUCGGUUCGAAUCGUGUAGAGAACAUAUAACUUUUAUUUUAUAUAUGAAUAGUUACAAACUCACUAUAUUUGACUACUACUACCGCACGGUGUGAACGAGUGAUUACAAUUUCAUUGUUCAAACACAAGUUUCAAACUAAUAAUAUAAAUAUCUUAUUUGAUGCCACAGGAUUAUACUAUCCCUAACUUAUUUGGAGAAAUUUAUCACGAGCUUAUUUGCAGAUAUUCAAACAACGAACAUCUCUUUUGUAAAAUAUCGCGUGCAUUUUCCUUAAUAUUAAGUCGAUGUUGAAAGUUCAAAAUAAAUAUAAACUUCAAAAAAAAAUGUUCCAAUUUUUUUUAAAAUUAUGGAAGAACUACCAAUUUAUAAAAUAAAUAAAAUUCAAGUAUAACUAAUGACACGAAAAAGAGUGGUUGUGACAGACCCACUACACACCACAGUUGUUUUGAGAUUAUGAAAGCAAAAAAAAGUACAAAAAAGUAGUGCCAAGUGUUGCAUUUCGUCGCAUAAUUUAUUUUAGUCAUAAAUGACUAGUCUUUAUAACAUUAGGAUAGAGCCACUGCCACAUGUUGCGACCAUCUGCUGCGAAAUCACUAUCCAUCGAUAUUGUAAAUUAUACUCAAUUUUUACUUUAAAAAAUAUAAAUUUUAAAAAACUUAUAUACCAUAACUUUAAAUUUAUGGAUCUAUUGGCUAAUAAAAGUGAAAUUAAAUGACAAAGAAAAUUAUAUAACUAUACAAUUUUAAAUUUAUCAAUCUGUUAUUACCUUAAUUUGAUGAAAUAAAUCCUAAUUAAUAUUUAUAAAAUUAAAAUAAAGCAUAUAAAAUUUGAAUGGCGACAAAUUGAACGCGUAAACAAUCAACAUCAGAUUCGGAUAUUCAUGCAAUAGUAAGGAAGCUUCAAAGAGAUUUAGUAACUGAAUUGACUGUCUAACUGUCAGGUGACUAAUAUUUGUCUUGUUAUAUAAUAUUUAAUUAAUUUAAUUUAAAUUAAAUUAAUAAAAUAUUUUAUUACGCGAGAGGAUUGUGAUUUAGAAUUUUUCCAAUUGAUGUAAAAUAGUUUAUAUUUUUUAGUUGGGAUGCUUUUGUGUUCAAUAGACUUUCAAUUGAGAUACAUGUAGUUCAACAUACUACAAUUUUAUAUUGAUUCUCCAAUAUAUUAUAAGAAAGAGAGAAAAGAUCAGGUGAAAAUACUAUCUUUCGUGAGGAUGAGAGCUGAUACUAAUAAGUAUUGAAUGAGCGGCAUGUAAUAUGCACGAAAAACCAUUCAAAUUUGUGUUCGAAUCCUAAAAGAAAAAAAAUCAUCAAUUAACUGAAUUACGACUAUUCAUGCAUUACAAACAGCUUAUUCAACACUAUAUACUGACUCAUUCGUUAUUCUCAUUUCUCAUGAAAAUAGUCAUUCUCACUAUAACCUAACCUUAUACAUAACGAAAAAUGAGAAAUAACAAAUAAAUCAGUAUAUAGAAUUGAAUAAUCUACUUGUAAUGCAUGAACAUUCGUAAUUCAGUUAAUCGGUGAGGUUAUUCAACCAUAUAUGCUUGCUUAUUCAUAUAAAUUCUCAUCCUUACGAAUUAUUUGUUAAUUUAUCAAAAAAUAAAUAAAAAAACAUCAUGCAUUCAUGUUAUCAGCAAUUGCACAAAUGUGAAGAAAAUGAUAGAGCAAAAGUUUAGCACCAAGUAAUUCAAUCAUGAAAUUAAGAAAAAAGCUACAUCUUGCCAAGAACAUUCAUGUCAAUCGAAUCAGAAUGGAAACUCAAAUAGCUGUGUACAAAGAAACUACCAUAAAAAUUUCAAAUUUUCAACAUAAAACUACCCAUUUCCUGACCAUCAAAUCGGAUUAGAAACCUGCUACCUUAGAAUUCUGACAUAUCUUAACACAACAUUACUUUACAACACUAGCAUGUUCCGUAUAAGUAGAGAGCCUUCGAGCCUUUUGGUAACGUAGAAGGAUCAAAUCGUAUCGGGACCUUUAAACCUAAGUAUGUGGCUAGUUUCUCAAUGGGACACAGAGGCAUUUAUGAAUGUAAACAAGAAUAAUUGUAGCUACCUUUUGUCUAAAACAGAUAGCAAUAUAAGUUUAAAUGCAAUCUCUCAAUGCUACACAAUGUACCUCUUCUUCUUGGCACCUCCGAGAUCCUUUUAACGAGUCACUUUUGCUUCUGCGCAGCCUGCCACGCAUAGAAAAAUAACAAGAAAUUAGAUGGCAAUUUUAUAUGAUACAUAUACCAAUUUAUAUGAAUAAUAUGAGAGGAUUUCCAAGACUAACCCUUUUCAUUUUUUCCAGAACUGAAUUUUCAUAAUCCUGAUACCCGGCACCAACAAGAUUGCCUAAUUUCGGAUCCUCAUGCUCGUUUUUCUCAGCACUAAACACGGCAGGCGAUGAGGCAGGUUGAAGAGGCACGACAAGGAGAGGAUUCGAAAGAUCCCCCAACACAUUCCCCGUUGCAGCAAUGGCAGCAUCCUUGGAUGCCAUCACCACAAGAGCCGAACCUUUCUUCUUGAACUCUUGAUGACUACAUCUUCCACGGAGCCAAAUUCCCCGAAUAUCUCACGGAGCCUCUGGGCAGUGUAACCUUCCCCAACCUUCUCCCACGAGACUUUGAGAACCUUUGCCUUGUCCAACCCAUCACUACCUCCACCAUCUGCUGGCCCGGCUGCUGCAUCUGCUUGGGAGGCGCUGCAGCAGCCGGCUUCUUGUUCGAAUGCAUAGCAAUAAUUCUAGCAAUCUCCUGCUUCAGCUGACGAGAUAUCCUCUCCUCCUCCUCUCGAACCUUCACAAUGGGGUCGACUGCAAAAGCAGACCGCUCUCGUUCUUCAAGAUCCGACAUCAUCUUCCUGCGCUUGGAAUCUUGCUGCCCCUGCCGCUGAGCCUUCUCCCUCUUUAUUCUAAGUAGAUCAUCAAACAGCUUCCUCGCCUUUCCAUCCUUGAGAACUUGAUAAGAGUUUUGAAGCUUCAGAAAAUUAGCAUGUGCGUUGGGGUCAUCGGGCCUUUUGUCGGGAUGCAGCUCCCUCGCCUUCGACCGAUAAGCCUUGUUGAUCUCUUGGUCCGAGAGUCGGGCGCCUUCCUCGCCCGAAGGCAGCCCCAUAACAUCAUAAUGGUCGACUUCAACAUCCAUGCUGCUCAACUGCGAAAUCGGAUAUAAAUCAACACAGCAUCAAGCUAAUAAAUUCAUUGACAACUCAAUAACUAGCUAGAAAAUUCAUGUUUUAUUUAAGCUGGCAAAAGAUCCUAUACCAAUUAUAUCAAACAGUAAAAAGAAAACUCAGGAUUGAUAUCAAGCAAAAACACAUGAACCAUAAACAGUGUAAUACUACAUGAAAACAACAACAACAACAACAACAAUUCAAUAAGAAAUGAAGACUAUCAAUCAAGAAAUAAAACUAAUCCAAGAAAUUCAAACCUUAGCACUAGUAGUGGACGCCGAGCUGGAGAUGAGCUGGUGGAUGGUGGGGUAGGGCUUCCGCGCUGGACCUGCGGCGGCGGGAUGCGAGCGCCGAGUGCCGAGCGGCGGUGCGGGCUGGUGGCGUCGGCGUUGGGGCACAAGGCGGCAGCCGAUUAGGGCAGGGAAUGGGAAUUGGGGAAAGGGAAAGGAAUUGGGAUGUGAUUCUGUUUCUGCGAAUUCAAUUUAGGGGGAAUAAGAUUUUUUGUUUUUCGUUUUUGAAAAAUGGGGGAAUAAGAAUUAAAAAAAUUAAUAAUAUACAUAUUCUUAUGCAAAUUUGAUGAGGGGUUAAUUAAGUAAUUUAAUGAGUAAACUAUUUUUAAGGUAUUUAAUAGUUAUCUUAUUUUAUAGGUAUACAUAUUCUUAUUUUAUUGUUAACAUAUUUUUUACUAAUUUUUCCUUCAAAAAACACAUACUACUAUUUUGGAUUUUCGAUUUAUUAUUAACAUACAUACAUUUAUUUAUAAUUGCAAAACCGUAACAUCCUUGUGCAAGUAUUGAUUAUGCUUAACGACCAAGUAUUGAUAAUGUUUUUUUUAACAUUAUCUUUCAUUAUUGGAGGAAAUCAAACUUUUUUAUAGUAUAUAUUUAUAUUGUUACUCCUUACAAUAUUAAAAAUGUUCAAAUUGAUCUACCAAACUAUGAAAAAUGUACACUUCUAAUCGAAACUGAACACAAACAAAAACAAAAAAUCAAAAUCAGUAUAAUCCAAGAAUGGUAUUUAACAUUCAAACAUUCCAACACCAGUAAUGAACUCUUGAAAUGAUCAUUCUUUUCCACAUUUGCUAGAUGAUGUGCUAGUGUGCUAGUUUCUCCACUCUGCUGCACUGUAUGGCCUUUGCCAGCACGUCGAGCCCGGCUUCUGAAGCCGGCUCCACCCCAGGCGGGGUCGAGCCCAGUUUCUGAAGCCGGCUCCACCCCAGGCCGGGGCAAGUCUGUGGAGACGAGGCAGAAUGAUGAAACACCCUCUGCAUCUCCUUCACCAGCAACUGUGCAAGGUUGCAGAGAUAGGCUGAUGAUCAUCAUCUUCGUAGACACCACCACGCCACUCGUCUCUGCAUUGCUCGAAUCACCAAACUCGAACCUCAAACCACUCCUCCUAGAACAGGACUUGAUACUCAUUUGAUCCAUUCCUUGUUCCCAACAACAAUGCCUGUGUUUAUGCACGAGUUAAUAAAUCAUUUUCGUCUUUGGUAAUUGAGUUCACCAAUGAGGCUAUAGUCAUAGCGAUCCUCCUAUUCAACUACUCCGACCAUUUCCUAACACACACAAAAAAAGAGUACCUAAACCAAGUUCAGAAAGUGAGACAGCAAUGAUUCUGCAUAAAAGAGUGAAGAUCCAAAGGUAAUUAUCACAAAACAUUACUUGAAUCAAAACAAAAUUUAAACACAAUGUGAUGCAAGUAGUGAAGGAUCAUUCAAAAGGAAAUGCAAAUUUAUUAUGUACCUGCUUCUAAUUUCUCACAACAUUUACCCCGGUAUUGAUUUACAAUCUGCACGCGAGGUUUGAACCGGAUUUAGUAAAGGCCACGAACAUCAAGAGCACUGCACCCGGGCAACUUCUUGCGCCCCAUGGUACCCAUUUUCCUUCGGACUUUCUUUACAUCUUCCCACCUACUGGCAGCUGCAUAUAUAUUGGCUAGAAGUGUAUGACCGCUUGAAUCACCAGACUCAAUCUCUAGAAGCUUCUUGGCAACACGCUCACCAAUUUCAACAUUCUCGUAGCUCCUGCAGGCACUAAGCAGAGCACUGUAAAGUGGGAUGACAAACUUGUUAUCUUGAUCAGGUACCUCUCGUAUAAUCUGUUCAGCUUCUUCCAAGAGUCCAGCACGACCUAGAAGGUCUAUCAGGCAACCGUAGUGUUCCAGCUUCGGCUCAAUUUGGUAAACCUUAGUCAUGGAAUCAAAAUGCUUACGGCCUUCCUCUACUAGCCCUCCGUGGCUGCAGGCACUCAAAACACCAAUGAAGGUGAUAUCAUCAGGUCUUAUCCCGGCUUGUGUCAUCUCCGUGAAUAACUGCACAGCCCUGCCCGCGUCUCCAUUCAUGGAAAGUGCGCAUAUCAUAGACGUCCAUGAUGCUGCGUCCUUCUGGCUCAGUUGAUAGAAUAUCUGCAACGACUUCUCUAAGCAACCACAUUUUGCAUACAGCUCUAUAAGAGCAGUGCCAACCACUGCAUCAAUACUAAUUCUGUUUUCUCUCAAGUAAGCAUGAAUCCAUUCGCCUUGUUCCAGCGCUCCUGAUUGAGCGCAUCCAGUGAGCAAAGUAACAAGGGUGUAUUUGUCGGGUUUAAUGCCACUCAUUUGCAUGCGCCUGAACAAGGCCAUGGCUUCAUCAACCUCGUUGAACUGCACGUAUCCAUUAAUCAUGGUCGUCCAUAGAACAAGAUCUUUCACAGAGCUCCUCUCAAAAAAAUCCCUGGCUUCAUCCAAGCAACCAGAAUUCGUGUAAGCUGAAACCAUACUAGUCCAACAAAUAACAUUCUUCUCUGGCAUAGCAUCGAAUAACCCUCGGGCAAUCUCUAAGCAACCACACUUAGCAUACAUAUCUAUCAAUGCAUUUCCUAUAAUCAUAGUAAACCCCAAUUUCUCACUCACAUACUCGUGAAUUUCACGGCCAAGAUCCAAGUUCUUUAGCGCCGUGCACGCAGAUAAAGUGCUCACGAUUGUGGCCUCGUCGGGUUGCAAACUCGCCUCCUGUCUCAUCCUCCUGUAAACAUUAACAGCAUCUUCAAACCUACUACUCUUUACAAACCCAGAAAUCAAGACAUUCCACGAGAUUAAGUCUCUUUUAGGGAUUUCAUCAAACACUUUGGCCAAGUUCUUGGCACAUCCCAAUUCGCUAUACAAAUCAAGAACCGAAUUACAAACAUAGCAAUCAUAAAGAUCCCCACUUUUCAAUGCAAACCCAUGAAUCUUUUCCCCUUCAGGAACAAUCCUCAACUUCCCCACGGCCUUAAACACAAAAGGAUACGUAUAAUUAUCGGGCAGCAAACCCUUGAGACGCAACUCAUCAAACAAGGAGAGGGCUUUUCUGCAACUACCGAAUUUCACAUGUGCCUUGAUCAUCACAUUAUAGAUAAACAAAGUUGGGCGCUCAAUUUGGGAAAAUACCUUGUCGGCAUGGCUCAAGUCGGCAACGGCGGCGAAAGCGAUGAGCUUGUGCAAGACAUCAAUGCUGUCGUGGAGCCCAUGGGUGAAGAUGUGAGCUUGGAUCUGCUUGAAACAAACCAUGGAUUUGCAGUUCUUUAUGAGGUCUAUGCAUGCUUUCUUUGGCAUUAUGAAGUGAAGGGACUACUACAAGGCCGCGGGGUCCACCAUUGAUGAAAGCAUACACAACUUCAUCUCCAAUAUUUGAGCAUUUGGAGCACUAAAAAACACGAUUCUCUUCUCCAUUUAAGUCUUCAUGGAAGGAUUUUGUUUGGCAAGAAACUGAAAAAAGCGUUUCUUUUUUGAAUUGCCGAAGUGUUGGGCGGCGGAUGAAAUGAAGCAGCGGUCGCCGGAAAGGGGAUUAGGGCAACCUGCAAUUUCAAUUGGGUUUUGUUUGGGCGAGAGAGAUGAAUGGCUGUUUGAGAAGGACUUGUUUUGCUGGUUUUAGAUUAGAGGGAACAUGUAGAGUGGAGGAAGAAGUGAUGGGGCGGCGGAGGAGAGUGGUGGCGGUGGCUGAGCAGAAGCUAUAGGCUGUCGCAAUGUCUCGCCGGAAAAGAAGAUUUGCAGAUACUCGGAUGAGACGAGAGCUAGUUACAUUUUACCCUAUUUUUUACGAGGGUAUUUUUGUCAAAUUCCUUCAUUAUUAUUAUUAUUAUUAUUAUUAUUAUUAUUAUUAUUAUUAUUAUUAUUAUUAUAUUUAAUCCUUUGUAGCAUACAUGGGAUUUUUUAUUUUUAUAUUUAAAUAAAAAGGAUAGAUAUAAUUUUUUAUUUAUUUCCAUAGUAACUCAAACAUCUAAUUAGAUCGGUUGGGGAAAAAGCUGUCUUACAAAUUUAUGCUUCAGUAUCAAACACGAAGUUAUUUUAUUAAUUUAAUCUCAGCCUUUAAAUUGUCCAUUAGAGAAUAUUUUGUAUGGGUAACAAAAUAAAUUUUAAAUCCUGAAAUAGUAACACUAAUAUUUACUAAACUUUAAAUAUUAUUAAUUAAUAACGAGAAAACUUUCAUGCAAAAAGAAAAUCUGUUACUAGCAUUAAUCACAAGAAAAAGGAGAUAAAAACCUUCAUUUAUUUUUGAAACCGAAUAAUAGGAUAGGAAGCAAAAUUGUCCAUCAAAAUACAACUCCAGAAGUUGAGAAAGAAAAUUAAGUCAUAAUUUAAGAGGCCAAAUGCUGCAGCACUCAUCUAGCUAGAGCAACACAAAUAAUACUACAAACGAAUUACAGCACAUGAUGAGUUUAUAUCUCUUGAAAGAAUACAAAAAAUCUUUUACUUCCGGAGCCACUGCCUUUGGCCCUUUUGUGGGGGAUUUCCAUCUUAUUUCCAAACCAGAUAAAGAGAAGAUUCACAACCUAACAAAAAAGACAUCAAGAAACACACCUCGAAGCGCCAUAGUCGAACACGAAACUCUGCUCUUCUUCCUCUCAGUUGGACGCGUCCCUGCUGUAGUAUUGGUCGAGUGUCUUGGCUGGAAUACGGUGAAGAAGUUCCCUGGGGAAGAUACGGAGCAGGGUCCACGCCAAGUCUAGCGACUGGAAGAUGUUGCGCGUGUCAUAAGCUCCUUGGGCCACAAACUUCUUCUCGAAUUUAUCGAGGAACUCGAGAUACAGCUGUACAAGUUACAACCAUGUCGAGUUAGUCAUCUGAACUAGCUACCAUGGGGAAUUAAUACAAAUAUACAGUAGCCGUGUGCGGAUACAGACCAGGUCUUCGGAGGAAAGAGCUUCCUCUCCGACCACGGCUUUCAUUGCCUGGACAUCCUUCCCAAUGGCAUAGUUUGCAUAUAGCUGAGAAAAGUAAACCAGAGAAAAAAAAAUUAGUGCAAAAUUCAACUGUGAUCAGUGAAACAAAAUUUGGAAGUCUGCUACCUGGUUGGAUACAUCAGAGUGAUCCCGACGUGUCAUUCCCUCACCAAUGGCACUCUGCAACAUAUUCAAGCAGCAAUAGUAGCAACGCUCAUUAGCUUAAAUAAUUCCUCAAGCAUAGAUUAAUAUGAUAAACGUGUGUGCUGACCUUCAUUAGACGAGACAAGGAUGGCAGCACGUUGAUUGGAGGGUAUAUCUGUCAAUUCAGGCAGAUAUUUGUUAAGCCAAAUCCAUCAAUAAGAAAGAACAGCCCAAAGAUACAACAGCUAAUCAACCUCUUAUAAGCUUCACAAGCAGUAAUUUGAACAAACAAGAACACAUAAUUUCAAUUAUUACGAGGUGGUUCAUUAGAUUUUUCUGAAGAUACUCGGUACGUGCAAAAAAGGGCAUGUGGGAAAGUGCAUUAAGAUUUGGGAAAAAAUUGGUGCCAUGUUAGAUGCUAAUGGAGUGCAUCAACCUCACUUUACCUGCCUAUUGUAAAGUUGUCUGUCAAUAUAUAUCUGUCCCUCGGUGAUAUACCCCGUAAGAUCUGGAGUAGGAUGUGUAAUAUCUGAGAAUUUCAACAGAAAAGAAAAAGAUUAACAUUGAUUUAUAAUCGUGAAAAUGAGGGAAAACAAUAUCCCAAUAGUUGAGAGAAAUGUAAUAGGUCUAUGUAUUACCGUCAUUAGGCAUGGUUAAUAUAGGAAUUUGAGUAAUGGAUCCCUUUCGUCCUUCAAUACGUCCAGCUCGCUCAUAGAUGGUAGCCAGAUCAGUGUACAUAUAACCAGGGUACCCACGCCUCCCAGGAACUUCCUCUCGAGCAGCAGACACCUAAGAAGAAAAUAUAAUCUCUUUCCCUUAGCUUUCCAAUUACACUUGGAAGAGGAAUAACUAAUAUCAAACAUAUACUAUUACAGACAGCCAAGAUGGGAUGUGCAUAAAAACACUUGUAAAGGCACUUUUCACUUGAAAACUUCAUAGAAUGUAAAUAAGAGGGUACAUUUCAAAAUAAAUUUUAAAAGAAGAUAGAAUUGUCGGCUAACAGCUGAUAAAGCAGGAAGGUUAUGCAGAUAGUACCUCACGAAGAGCAUCAGCAUAGGAACUCAUAUCUGUCAAUAUGACAAGAACAUGCUUGCCACAUUCAUAUGCUAAGUAUUCUGCAGUUGUCAGUGCAAUGCGAGGAGUAAUAAUACGUUCUAUUGUAGGGUCAUUGGCCUGAAGAAAAUAAGAUAUUAAAUAUGGGAGACAUCUUGAACCAAGAUUUAUGUAAUAAUUUAUGUAAUAAAACAGUUGAGAAUAAGGUGAUCAGCAUAAAUACCAAAUUCAGGAAAAGGGUCACCCGCUCCAUUGAUCCAUUCUCCUCAAAAUCACGUUUGAAAAACUGCGCUGUCUCCAUGUUCACUCCCAUAGCUGCAAAGACAAUGGCAAAGUUGUCCUCUUCACCACCCUGUAGCACAGUCAUCAACUUAAUUUCACAUACUUAGGCCGACUAUAAGUUCUUGCAACAAAGAGAAAUACACUCCUCUUCAAUACCAAUGUGCCAUGUAUGAUUAGAAUAUUGGCAGACAACAUUCAAUGAAUAUUAAACAAGAUUCAAUCAAAAAUGCAUAUGGUUCUACCAUAUCAAGCAACAAUUACCAAACAAAGAGAAAGAAAGCAAAAGUCAUUAAUUAGAUAUGAAGCAUGGAAAAAGACAAAAUAGCAUUCCUAUUGGAUUAAGGUAUAGGAAUGAAAAAAAAUCGAAGAAACGUUCCAGUAGUAAAAUUAUACCUCGAGAAGAUUGUCAGUUUUCUCGAGACGUUUCACCAAGCCUGCCUGGCGACAAAUCUGGGCAGCUAUUUCAUUGUGGGGAAGACCAGCAGCAGAAAAUAGAGGAAUCUUCUGACCUCGGGCAAUUGAGUUCAUGACAUCGAUAGUUGAAAUUCCAGUCUGUAUCAUUUCUUCAGGAUAGGUUCUCUCACUAGGAUUGAUGGAACUCCCUGGACCCAACAGGUUAGAGAAUACAUCAAAUGUGGAGUGGUCCAAUGUAUAACAAGGACACUUCUCAUACAAUAUUAGUACUUGCCUGAAAUAUCCAAGUAGGCCUCUGGAAGAAUAGGAGGGCCAUUGUCAAUGGGCUUUCCAGAACCAUUAAAAAUACGACCGAGCAUGUCCAAUGAGACAGGUGUUUUCAAAACCUGCAAACAAGUUAUAGCACAAUUUCUAUGAAACCAAUUUUAAAUACCAGAUAAUAAAUAUUGCACCAGUAUAAAAUCUCAGCCCAUUUACCCAAAAAAACAACAACACAGAAUUCCAGCUCGUAAUAUCUAAUGCAUAAAUCUAUUCCAAAAACUGUAGUCAGCAUAAAUCUAUCUAGGCAGAACUAACAUGACAAUGAUUAUCCUCAGUGAUUGAUAAGUACCUCCCCAGUAAACUGGACAGUAGUGUAUUUGUUGUCAAUUCCAGAUGUUCCUUCAAAAACCUGGUAAAUAGAACAAAGGAAUGAAAUUCUACUAUCUAGUACAAGAAACAGAUGGAAAGAACUGACUGGAGUCUGGAUAAAUAGGGAACAUAAAAUCCAAGCAGAUAUGCAUAGAUCAAACAAUUCAAGGACUCUCCAAUUUGGCAGUUCAGCAGAUUAGUCAACAAAAGGACUUAGAGGAAAGAGGGGAUAUACUUCUGAAAAGGCGUCUGUAAUCCUUAAAUUACAAGAUUAUCAAGGAAAAAAGUACCAAAGGUGGCAAAAUAUCAAAUCUAUAACAUGGAAAACCACUCAAUGAACAAAGCAACAAAUUAUCAUGGCAAUCACCUGGACAACAGCCUUCUCUCCAUCAACCUCCAAAACUUGCCCCCGACGGGUUGUUCCAUCUCCCAAGCGAAUGUUGACAAUUUCCUGGUACUUGGGUCCCUGACAAAGUUUCAGAAUACAUCUAAGUAAUUCUGUUCCGGAUUCCAUAUCUAUCACAGACAGAAGAAAUAAAUAAGGAGUACAAUGUUCACCUUGACUUUGUCUAAGAUAACAAGAGGUCCAGCCACUCCAGAGACUGUUCUAUAUUCUGAGAAAUAUUCGAGCAUAUCAAACUAUGCACUUUAGUAAAUCAGUACAUAUGCAAAGGGACUAUUUAGAGUAGAUAUUACUGAAUUAUGUAGAAACUUCUGAUUAAUUGUCUCCAAAAAUUAACAUUUCCUACACUACAGGCAAUACUUCUUUACAUAAUCACAUUACAACUUGUGGAAAAUAGGUCUUUAGUAGAUUCUCUCUUAACAGCUAUAUGAUACUGAUGAAAACAAAGAAGCAGUUUUAUUUGAUUUCUACAUGAUGGCAGAUCCUAGCACACUACCAACUAUGGGAUAUACUCAAAAUGUUACGGAAAUGGGAUAUAAUGAAAGUAUACCCAUUCCGAUCUCCAGAGUUCCCUCCUCCAUGUCAAUGUUGUUUUCUGUCACACCCAUAUUCAACCUACAAAAUUUCAGACCAAAUAGGAUAUGUGUGAGAGACAGAGAGAGAAAGAGUUAAUGCCACUUGACUUGAAGCAAUUAGUCCCAGGACAGCUCAGAAACUGAAACCAUAAAAACAUGACUAAACGUUACUCUAUAUCUCCAGCAAGUAUGCAGACAGACAUAACAUAUGCUUUGCUUUUUCACUCAUCAAACUAGAAGAAACUCUCCCUUAGCUCUCCUUAACUUCAUAUGCUACUACGGUUCGACACAUCCACAUGAGAAUAAAAGGGUCAGCUGAACCCUGCAGUUCAGCUUAGACAUUGCUGCUUGCCAACCAGUAGACUGCUCCCAAUUGCAUAUUGAUCUAAUAACCAAAAUCAUAUCUUGACAAAUGAUCUACUCUGUGUAAACCAAACAGGGGCAGAUCAUUUACAUUUUCAUUUAUUUCUUAUCGAGAACUAGCGUGAGUCGAGCAGCAGAAAUGAACACUGGAUCACCACUAUCACCCUUCAUCAAAAAAGUUUACAUUUGCCAACACACCACAGCAUCUUCAUUUCCAUAGGAACGACAAAAACCAUUGUAAAACAUUGAGCUUUAAGAUAGAUCACCACAAUUUAAAGGAACACUGGCAGCAACUACGACAAUGGAUGUACGGAUCAAAUUCAACUCCACGAGAGCAGAUUUGACACUCGCGCACACCGCAAUCGACGAACAAAUGCCAAAAAACAGACGAAUCUAAAACCGCUCGAGCCUAUUGAAACUGAAUAUGCUCAAAAGCCGGAUCUAAAAAGUGGCAUACCUUUUCGCUGAAUCCCAAUCAGAGAGAAAGCGAGGAGAAUUGCAGUGAGAUGGAUGAAAACAGCAAAAACAAUAUAAUGAGAUCUGAAUAAUUGAAAUUGAAACAAAAUGAAUUGUCAGUAUCUUCGAGUCAUGGAUCAUGUGACGAUGACCUUUUUAUUUAUUACAGCAGUUGGAAUAAUUGGAGAAAUGAAAAUGAAAUUGGAGUGUACAACUCGUCGAAGCGUGGGUUUACUGCAGCCGGCUGUAACUUUGCGGAAUUUUUACCGGCCAAGGUACAACAGAAACAAGCGGGCAGAUUGGCUGGUGGUGUGAUGAGCAGUAAGGGCGCAUUGGCACGAAUCAGACGGUGUAGAAGAGUGCCACGUGUCGCUUCUAUGACAAAGACAGCCUCAGCGUAUCUCUUCAGUCGACAUGUUUGUUUGUGUAUUGGGUUUAAUAAUUGGUCAAUUUCUUUUUAGAGUUAUUUUGCUAAUUAGUCUCUCCCUCUCUCUCUCUCUCACACACACACACAUACUCCAUGUGUUCCAUCUCACUUAACCUAAUUCUUUUGGAUACGGUUAUUAAAAAGAAAAAAAUUGUAGUAUAAAAUAUGUUAGUCCAUAUCUUUUGUAGUGAAAAUCUAUAAAAAAAAAGUGGGAUGACCCAAAAUAAAAUAGGCCAAGUGAAGUGAGACGAAAGAAGUAAUAAUCAUGAACAAAGUGAGUUUGAUCGUCAUGAAUUUAGUACAAAAAAGUUCAAUUUCACACACGGGCCAUAUUAAAUUUGCAACGAUUCAAUUCAUCUUUCAAAUACUAAAAUAAAUUUGUAGUAUAUAAGUUUUCAUAGUUCGGAUAUUAAUUGAUCAAAAUUAAUGAUUCAUGACAGAAAACAAUGAUAAUUCGAGAUUUAUUUGGCAAGUGCAUUUUUAUACUUUCCAUUUCUCCACACAUUAGCCCCUCAAAGUGUCUCGAACCUCCGAUCUAUAUUUCAUUAUUAGAUAGUAUCUCCGUUCCAUUUAAUAUGAUUCAAAAGUCACUUUGAAUUGUUCCAUUUAUUAGCUCGAUCCUAAAAUGAUAAGAAAAAAAAAUUAUGUCUUAACCACUACAUUGAGCUAGCGAGACCGUCUAACUGUAUUUAUAAAUUAAGCUCUCUUUAAUAUACGUGCCGAAAAGUAACGAGCCAUAUUAAAUUAAUAUGGAACAGAGGGAGUAAAUUUUAGCCCUUUCUUUAUCGCAUUUUCACACUAUAACGGAUCAUUUAUUUUUUAUGAUUAUAUUUCAAUGAAACAUAAAUCAAGCAAAAUUAAGCUGCUCGACAAUUCAUCGAGCAGCUUCUCUGCUCACCCACUCUCGUCUCCAAAUCAAAGCAUUGUGCAAUCCAAUCAAAAUGGUGCAAAUCAUCAGUUCUAAACUUCUAAUCAUCAUCAUAAACAUAUAUAGUCAUACAAAAGGAAAGAAAGCAAACUAUCAAGAGAUGAAAAAGAGAGAGGUUGUAGGUAUGGGAGUUUCAGCUAUAAUCUGUUGAUAAAAGUGGUCUCAAUCUCAAAUAGGGUUGAUGGGAAACAUGGGGAUUUACAAAAGUGGUGCCAAGAUCAAAUAAACACAGAAACAAAGCUGCCCAGAAAGCGUAAGUAUAGUAGUCUUUAGGGGGGGUUAAAAAGUUACAGUGUACAUUAAAGAAUUCAAGGGCCGCUCAGAAGCUACCUGUCUUCCAUCAGGUGAAACAAAUCAGAGGCAGGGGGUGUCGCGUUGCGUGGCGUUGUCAGGCAGCUGCGACGGGUUCUGCUGGGGUCGUGAAAGGCGCGAGCGAGUUGGGAGGGAUAGUGAUGCCACUCCCUUUUACAGAUAUGUUGGGGGCCCGGCCUGAGCUAGCCCUGCUCACAAGAUGAGAGUCAACAAACACCACCACGACUGUUAUGUCGUCGUGGAAAUGGCGACGGACUCCACGGUCGAUUUUCUUCAAGUCCGAAUACCUCAUCUCCCUUUUCUUGGCUGCCUCUUGCAACGCUGCUUUCACUAAUCUCCUAGCACUCCCCUGCACAAUUCAACUCUUUGUGAGGUACCAGAAUCUAUAGCGGAAAGACAAUUAUUGUCGACUUUCGAAAAAAUUAACGAAUAGACCAUCUCCAAUCAACAAAAGUAAAUAUCGCACAGCCGGCCAGAAAAGCAAUGUGAUAAUGAAACUCUUUGCUUUCGUAGUAGCUGAUAUGCAGUUAUAGGAUUAAACUCAGUUAGUCAGUCGAUGAAGAACAAAAAUACACGCAUAGUCGAUUCCUAUCAAUAUGAGGACAAGUGAAAACAGCAAUCGACAAAUUUAUUACCAGAAAAAGAUGCAUAUGAAAACAAAUGCCGAGCAAUACCGCCUGCAGGCUACUCAUAAACUGUAACACAAGAUCUCGAGAAAGUUGCACUCAACAAAGUACCAGUACGAAAAUAGAAAUCUGUCUAAGGAUUUCAGAGUUAAAUAUCUUACGCUGCGCGGAUGAUUUUGGACCAGAUCAACAGCUUCUUGGUUGGAAAGGUGUUCCCAGAGGCCAUCAGAUGCAAAUAUAAUGAAUUGGUCAUGAGGCAACAACUGUUGCACAGCGAUUGCAGGAUCUGCGCUCAAAAUAGGUCUUUUGAAAGGUUCACGAAGUCGAAAUUUCUGAAAUAGGGGCUCCCUGUUGAAUUCAGCCUUUUUUAAAUACACAUCUCCAAUUGAUCUUGAGAUCUGUAAGCAACACAGUUAAUAUCAAUUCUAUAUUAAUGAUUUCAGAAUCACAUAAUUUCAUCCAGCGUGGACAACAUAAAAACCAAGUCUUCAAACCCAAGCCAAACAUCAUUAUAGUUUUUCAAAAGCUAAACCAAAUUGAGGGCGAAAAUAUACGCAUUGAACAGAGUCAGGGUUCUAAUGCCUUAAUAUCAAGAGUUCUGCUUACUGGUGACAGUUUUGACUUUGAAUUGACCACAUAUAUAUGAUAAUUAAAUUCUUGGAGUACCAUAUUAGAUUUAUAAAUGAAAAGAAGAGAUAUGAUAUGGCAAUGGUUUAGCUCACAACCUAAGAAACCAUUAACUGCUCAAAUUCAAAAGCAAACUCGUGAAGCUCACACCAUCUAGAAUGAAACAAAUAUGUGUGAUAUAUCAAUAAUGGAAACUACACUUUGAAGACAUUUAGGGCUUACUGUAAAUCAAUUUUAGAAAGAAAAAUAUCUAAUGUAAAGUCAGCAAUAAAUGAAAGCAAGUACUCUAUUAGUUAGUGUUUUCUUUUUCAUGGGUAUCAUCGUGCUUCAAUUUUCCAAGAAAGCGUUAGAACAAUGUAACUGUAAAGAAGUGACUAACAGUUCAAUAUACAACUGAUCGUGUGGAACGUAUCUACAGAAUAUGGAAAAAUUAAGAAUCUAUUUUUUUAUCUCAGAUCUCUGGUGUUCAAAACUAAUACUGCACCGCUACCCUUGAAGUAAUAACAUCCCUUGGAUGUAUAAGUUAUAUCCAAUCUAUCAAAUCAUAAUUGAUGUUUGUGGCACGGAAGUAAACAUGCCACCCGUCUCCACUAUAAUGAAAUCAAUCCAAUGCUCAAUGGAGAAAUGAUAAAUUUACCUGUAUAAGACCCUUCACACGCCAUACGUUAUGCUUUAAAACUACGAUAUGUGAAUCAUCAGGGUGCAAAGACUGCAACUCCUGUCUCACUGACUCAAAACUUGCAUUGUGCUCGGCCGACAGUUGAAUAGCAAGUACUUCCCCUGUAGCCUUGACUAGCCUACCUAGAACAGCACGGGAAUCACCAAGAUUCGCAAUAUAAAGAGUGCCGCUGCAGAUUAUUCCUACAAGACAACAAGAGCCAACCGCGGCAAUCUGUGGUCUCGUAGGCCAUUGUCUGCUAACAACUGAGAAAAAACCAUCCUCAGUUGCUUGAAAUGCCUUACGAAUAACUUCUACUGACAUCGACUGAUGCUCUGCCGCGAACCCUGCACAAUCAACCAAGACUUUGACAACCAUACGAAAUCAAUCAUCAAUCAUGAUCAUAGUUUGCCAUACACCAUGUCGUCCACGUUUAAAUCAAACACACACAAUAGGAAGCCGGACUUAUUCAUAGUAUUUGCUGCACGCCUGUAAUAAAACACAAUCCCACAGUAUACACCCUAGAUUACAAUCAUUAAAUACAUGCUACCAUAUUUGAACCAAUCUUCUUUUCCAAAACAAAGCAACACAUUUAAACCAACUACAGUUAAUAGCAACUAAAACAAAGCAAUACAUUCAAACCAACUAAAGCUCAUAACAACUCAAAAUCCAUCGAGACUUACUCUUUAGAUGUGGGAAGAGGUGAUCAUUGAUGAACCGGGAGGUUUCGGGACCUCCAUGCCCAUCAUAAAUCCCCACGAAGGUGCCAUAAGGUCCCGUCUCAGUCGUGCUCAGGCAACCAGAUUCGAGCUGGCUUUGAUCCUCGAGUAAAUUAUUUGCUUGCACUACAGCCAUCGAGAACUCCCCAUUGAAAUGCUGCCCCGAGUCCUUAUACCAUAGAAGCCCAUCCUGCCGGCCGUUGGCAUCCGAGCCUUUCUGCACAUACCCGUCUGCCCUCGGCCGAAAACAGGCCCUCAAAAAGUUCAUUAACCCCGAUAACAUCCCUCAUCUCGUCCAAACCACCCUCCAAAACAUCCACAUUUACCGUGCACUCAAGGAAUACCUUUCUAAACAAGGAAACUUAGCCCAAUCCGAAUUGCUUCCUCUUAAACUAUGCACAUUCAAAGUCUAGCAACAAAGAUAUAAGUAAACAAACAAACCAUAAGAAUUUGAAUAACGAUAAUCUCGGUUAAUAAUCGAAAGCAAGUAGCAGACGCGUAAAUCAACUCAAUUUCCAAUUUGGGGUAACACGGUCACAAAGAAAAGACUUCCAAUAUCAAACAGAUCUCCCAAUCAAUAAUUUGAAAGGGGCACAACUGCACAAGGGUUUCAAAAUAUGGGGCGACGAAAUUCACUUAUUCUCCAUAAAAACCAUUUGAUCAAGAGCUCGAAUUCCAAAAAGUCCGCCCCCAUCAAACCAAAAAAUCAUUAAGUUGAAAUCGAGCAGCCAAAAAUCAACAGUAGAGAAAUUUUUUUCAAAUAAAAGCUAAUUUAAACUGAAAUUGGCAGUCCGCAGAAGUUACCUUGGAGUUGAUUUAGGAAGAAGGAAGAUCUCAAAGUGGAAUAGGUUAGAUCUGUGGAUCCAGCGAAUCAAAGGGGAUUUUCACAAUUUAAAUAGAAAAAAAAAUCAAAACGAAAAUAAGUAAGUCUUUGAAGUGGGAUUUAAUCUAAUCCUCCUCUGCAGCCUUUGGGGCAGUGACAGGAACAAGAAGAUGACGAUUGAGCAAUCGAAGAGAGGGGAAACAAAAUUAAAAAAAGGAAAAAGGCACGAUGUGUAGAGAGAGAAAAUACGAGCAACGAAUGGGAGAGAGGAUUAGAGAGAGAAAGUGGUAGUAUGAUUGUGUGUGUGAUUGGGGCAACUGAAACUCUGGUAUCCCUCGGCAGACAAACCCCAUUAAAAACCAACAACGGAGAGCUUCAAGCCAGCAAAGCAGAGGACCAGUUUUGGGCUCCACGCUCUCUUCCAGAUGGACACAUUUUUAGAGAGAGAAAACUGUAUUUUUCUCUCAAUUCUAGUGAGAGAAACUAAAUUUAUACCCGAUGUGCAAAAAGGUGGAAGCUAGGAAAGAGCAACAAAUAAAGGCUUCGGCUUUUAUUAAUUUUUUACUAAUUUUAUUUUGGGUUAUUCUUUAAAACAAUUUUUUAAUUUAAAUUUAUACUUCCUCUCUUCAUAAAAGUCUUUUUUCUACUAGAACAUCCAUAAAAAUUAAUUAUUUUUCAUUUUUAUAAAAAUUUUUCAUCACAUGAUAGAUCAUUUUCUUCAUUCACAGUACAAUCAGUUAUUACUCCAUCCGUCCUACGAAAUAUGAGUCGUAUUCUUUUUUAAGCCGUCCCACGAAACUUGUUACGUUUUCUUGUAUAACAAAAAAAAUUUGAUAAAUUACAUAAGUAAAUAAAGAAAUUUUAAAGACCGCGCGACGGAGGACUAGAACCCAGGACCUCGGGUCUUGAAAAUUAACCUCCUACCACUAGGCCAACACACACACCAAAAGUUUUUCUUUUAUUCACAUUUUCACCUGCCACACUUAACACACUAUACACUACUUUCUUAAAUUCUGUGUUCAAAAGAAAAGACUCAUGUUUCGCGGGAUGGAUGGAGUAUUAUUACUAUUUUUUAAGUGAGAUCAUUUAUGCACUCACAAUAUACUGAUCAUUUUUAUUAAAACCUGUGACGAUCUUUUUUAAGAUUAUUUUUUGUAGAUGAAGAAAAUAAAAUAAUUAUAAAUAUAGUGUUUGUUUUCCUUAUGUUUAGUUUAUAGUUCGAUUUUAAUUUAUUUUAUUUUUAUCAGAGAUACACAAAUACAAAACCUAGUGAUUAAAACUCAGAUGGCAAGAGAUGUCUAGGUGUUCAUAAUUUAGUCGGAUGAUUAUAUUUAUAAUUUAAUUUGCCAAAUUUUUUUGACUUAGACUUAAAAUUGAAUAAAUGAGAUGAAUACAUGUUAUAUUUGUAAUAAUAGUAAAUUUGAACUAAAAAGUCAAAACGUAAUCAGAGUUUAAGUUAUAUUUUUAUCUAAAAAUGUAUAUUUGUUGAUAGUAUGAUUAAUAUUUGAGCCAAAGAUUUCACAUUACUUAUAUCGUCAUGUGAUCUUUUAAAAUAUUUAUUGUGCUACAAAAAUAUACUCCAUAAAGCGAGAGUGUUUUAUUAGUAAAUGAAAACGCACAUUAAUUUUGUAAAAUGUCGAUGGAGCUGAGUGAUUAGCAUUUGCAUGAUUAUUUUUAUUUAUUCUUUUAGAGGAAAAUUAAUACUCCUACUAUUUUUUAUUUCUAAAAUGCUAUCUUACUCAUGAAGGUGCAACCACGUGAAAAAUGAGGGUUAGUUUAGUUGUACUAGUUUAUUUGAAUAGAUUUGUUAUAUACUAUUUUUUUUUUUUUUGAAUAUAUUUCAUGAAGAGGGACUCUAUUUUCAUUUAUUGAUGUACCUUUUAGUAGAUUUGACAGUCGAUUCCUUUGCACCAAAGAUUUGAAGAAUAUAAUUCUGUGCUUUUAAAUCUAAAUUUCAACCAUGGCCAAGGAAUUUAAUGUGCAUAUCUUUACUAAAUACGAGGAUGAAUUUCACAUGCUAUGAACCGAAUUAUUCAUAUUCAAUUGGAAUUUUUAGGUAUUUAUAUUUUAAAUGACAUUUUAAAACUUCUAUUCAAUUUCUAAGUCUUCUUAAGCUUUGGCACAUAAAUUAAUUAAAUAAAAAAAACUACCCAAAAUAACCUUAAUUAAUGAUAAUUACCCUUAAUUAUACAAUUGUUACUUUAUACGCAAAAGAAAAGAAAAAACACUUCAUCUUCUCCAACCUAUUUCUGUCGAGUGUUUUUAAUAUCAAAAAAUUGAUUUAGAGGAAAAGUCAAAUUAAUAAGGAGUUCAAUAAAUAGGGGUAAUUUUGGUUGUAAAAUCUUAAGCAACAAUUAAUUUGCAAAUAAAUGAAAAGUCCAAAACGACUUACAAAAAUAAUAGGAGGGAAUAUCAAAGUUGCCCUCGUUAACUCUCCUCAUUUAUAUCUAUUUUUUAUGUUUUUCAUCAAAUGAUAAUUAGGGACAAAUUAUCAUUAUUUAUGUUAAUUUGAGUAUAACUCUUUUUAUUAAUAUGAAAAUUUUAUUACAUGGACAUGUCGAUAGUAUAUUUAUUAUAAAUAUUGUGUAAAUAGAAGCGUUACAAAAAUUUGAUUUCAGAUGCAUAGGAAAGUACAAGUUAAUCCUUUAUUUUAUGUACUAUUAAUUAAUGUAUAUAUAAAGCCUAAGCCCAACAUCAAAAUCAAAUAUUAUUCUCUCUUUUUUUUAGAUAGCCAAAUAAUCCUUCCAAAAAAAAAGCCAAAUAGACCUUUAUAUUUGACUUAUUCAUUUCUCAUGUUCCACGUGGCAGCAAAGAAGAGCUAGCAUUGGCCAGAAAAUUGGUAAUCAGCUUAUUAAUAAACUUAAUUGCUAGAGCUAGUUUAAGAAGAGUCAGAAUUGUUAUCCAUUGAUUAAAGUUACUCACUUCCACGAAAAAAGGGAUUUAAUUAAUGUUAAUUAUUACUACUAUAUGUCUAAUAUGUCAAUUUGAAUAUCUAAUCUAAUUCACCUUUGUCCUUUUAAAGUGCUAGGUAAACGUGCUACCCCAAUUAAUAAAUUAUAGUAAAUGUAAAUAUUUGGAUCAACUAUAAUAAAUGAGCUAAGAUUAAAAAGUAUAAAAAAAGAAGUGACGCGUUGAAAUAGAUUCCAUUUUUUUUUAACUAAGCUCUAUUUUAACUCUAUUAUAUAUAGAAAAAAAUUACUACUUGGAAUAAAGUAUAAUAUAAAUAGAUUUGUUUUUCAGAACAAAUAUAUAGUUAAUUAUUAUAAACAUUGAAUGCAUUUAUAGAGAAAAUAAUUAAUUUGGAAAAUAAAUUCAAGACUCUAGAAAAGAACAAAAUGAGAAUGUGAAUAAUGUGAGUAAUACUUUUUUCAUUUUUGGAGCAAUGAGUUGGGCCUUUUUAGGUGCUUACCUCGAAAUAGUAUUUUUCUUCAUCAUUACGUGAGUGUGUUUAUACAUAUUUAUAAGAUUAAUUACCGGAAAGAAAAGUGGCUUUUUGAAUGAGAGAUUUAUAUAUAAUACAUAUGAAUGAUUUAAUUAAUGGGAUAUUGUAAAAAUGAAUACAUCGUAAAUUUAAUCUAUACAUUGAUUUAUUCAAUAGUAUGCAUAUUAUGUAUUUAAUAUUUUUUUUAAGUUACAAGUCACAAGAGGUAUCUGAAUACAAUUAUUAAUGCAACCCAUACGCAAACGGGACCUCAACACCACACAACGGUGAAAAAAUAUCACUGCAUGCAAACGAGAACGCCCUGCGUGUGAGACCACCAACAAACAAUCAACCAAGACCUCUCACAAAGGAGAGUCUUUGGGUGCCUCAACUUUGCCACUAGAGCAAGGCCUCAUCGGCUGUUAUGUAUUUAAUAUUAAACAUAAAAAAAUAUAAAUAUAUUUAAUUGCAUGAUGAAACGCUGUUAAAAACUUAAAAUGGUAAUAGAUCGGCUUCAAAAAAAAUGUAAUUAAUAUUUCAGUUCAACAAUAUGCAUUAUUAUGUUUAACUAUAUUCAUGUUUUGUGUUCAAUUACAUAAAUGAAAUGCUCCAUCAUUCUUACCAUCAACAAUUCAUUUAAAACUAAAAAAAUACGAAAAAUCUCGACCAUUUGAUAAUUUAAAUCAAGAGAUGAAAUUAAAUUAAACAUGAGAUUUGGAUAUUAUAUAAUCACUUGUAUCUAUGUAUAAAUUAACCAUGAUCUAAAUAAAAUGGAAUACGCCAUCAUAUCCACGAGCACCAGCUCAUUAUGAGCUUUUAGUGUUUGGGCAAUUUUUAAUUUAGCCGACUCUUUUUAUUGCAUUUCGAAUUCGGACAAUUGAGCUUUAAUCAAUGCUUUGUUUGGUCUUCUCAAAAAAAUAAAAUAAAAAAUUAUUUGUUUGUCGAAUUGCUACAUCUAAUAAAAAAAUUAUUAACAUAAUAUUAUGUAAUUAUUAUAUAAUAAUAGUAGCACACAUGCACACACACACACAUAUAUAUAUAAUUUUUUUUAAGAAACACUAAAUAAAUAUAUAAUCAUAUUUAACAUAAUUAGCUUAUUUUUAUCUUUUUUAAUUUAGUUAUACAUAUCUGUAUUUUUUAUUUUAACUAUAAUUAUUAUCAUGCAUCACACAAAUUAGCAUUUUUAUUUUAGUUAAUUAUUAUCUUAAUUAAUGCAUGCGAGAAAGGAUAAAUAAGAGAGUGCAUGCAUGUGGCACUAAUUUUGUCAAGUAAUAAAUUCAAAAAAAAAAAAAAAAAAAAAAAUAGUGAAGUGAUAAUUUUGAUGGUAAACCAUCAGCAUCGAAUUUAUUCAAUCAGAUUGCAUUCAGAGGAGACUGAUCUAUAGUAGGGACUACACUUCCAUAAAUUCCUCAAAUAAUUGUCCCAAAAUGAGGAAAUCGUUUGGUCAUUUCAUUUAUUUUUAUUUUUAGUUUUAGUUAAUUUAUUUUUACCCAUGCUACAAUUUGCCAUAUUUUAAAUUUGUGAAUACAUGCAACUUAUCCCUUAUGUUAUUUAUAUAUGGUGUUUAUUUGUUUAAUGGGAAAUAUAUUAUUUUAUUUUAUGGUUCGACUAAGCCAUAAUGGUUACGGUGGAGUAUUAUUUCUGUUAGGUUAGUAAUUUUUUUUAAUGAUAAUCAUUUAAUUUAUAAAUAUAUAAUUGUUUGAUACGAAAUUUUUCCUAAAAACACUUUCAUGUACUAUUAUCGAAAAUAUUUAUCUAUAAAAAUAAAGAAGCACAAUCUUAUUUUUCUCAAUUAACAACUUAAAACACAAUAUUCUUCGAUAUCUCAAAAAAAAAAAUGAAAUAGAUUAUAGAUAUCCUUUUAUUUAUCAAAUACGUGGAAUUUUUUCUUUUAUUUAUCAUCAAUUCAUCAUUAUCCAUAUCCCAAAUUGCAGGAAAGGGCCUCUCUUUAAAUUAUGUGUUGUAAAUUCAGAUACAGUAAAUGGCAAUAAAUCAAAGGACAAAUGCGUGGGGCCAGCGAUGGAAAAUGGAAAAUGGAAAAAUUGAGAAAAACAAAACUCACAAUUUGGAUAAAUAUUAUUCUUCUUCCUCAAAUUUCUGUCAAAAUCCCAAAAAUGCAUGCAUUUACUCAGCUGCAUUCAAUAUAUGUCCAGAUCAUAUCCUCGUGUUACAUAUUUUGUAAUUAUUUGAUUGUUGUCGUGUAUAUUUUUUGAAAGAUUGUUGUAGUAAAUUGAUCCAACGUUACUAUUUUUAUUUUAUUUUUCUCUAAAAUGUCCAUGUUUAGUUGGAACAUUUAGUUGUGAACUUUUCAAUUAAGAUACAUGCUCGUGGAUAUUAGAUGAAUUAUAUACAUUCGUGUGGGGUCGUUUAACAUUAAUUAUCAUCAUUUUUUGUCACGUAAGUUUUUCCUUGAUGCUUUAAUUAUCCAUGGCCAACAAUCUAAUGAAAAUAAUGGCACUCUUUUCAUUCCAUGAAUUUAUAUAUAUCUUUUUCUUUUUAUAUGUCUUUCAAAUUUAUGCACAUUCUAUUUUUGAACAUUAUUCUACAUAUAUUUUUUACAAUUUUAUCCUUGUAACUUACACUAUUUAUCUAUAAUGUACUUAAUAAUACCCUUAUUGUGGAACCCUUUCUUCACUAUUAUUAUUAAACUGCAAAUUUUAUUGAUGGGGGAAAAAAACGUAGAAACCUAUGGAAGCACAAAGAGCUAACGAAGGAUCAGGCCUCGUUAAAACCAUCUUAAUGAAAAAUCAAUGAGAAAACAUUAAGAUGAGAAAAGAGUGUCUGUCUAGAAAAGCAAAGAACAACAAACACAAUAAAAUAAACACAAGGGUGGAGGCGCCUUUCGAGCUUCGGCAUGGCCAUCACCCGGAAUCCCUCCAACCCGCAAACACGCCAGAGAAAUAACCAAAGACAGAGCUUCAGACUAACCAUCACUUCAUGAUCGGCCAUGUUUCUGACAUGCGAACAAAACAACAAGAAAGAAAAUAUGUGUGUGUGAAGCAACUUAAAAGGGGACAAAGCAAGUAUAUUUAUGUAAUGCAUAUAUAUAUAUAUAUAGGAGGAUUCAAUAAGAACCACUAAUAAAAUAAGAAGGAGAACCAUUUUAAGCCAUUCGAUCAUCAAGAUCUACGGUGGAUGCAUCAUCUUGGUGGAUGGAUGCAGGUGCUGGGUUCGAAUCCUGAAGGGAGCAAAAAAAAUUAUUUUUUGGAUGCAUUAAAUUUAAUAGUCGGAUGCAUUAAUUUGUAUAGCAGAUAGCAUAAUUUUAUUGGUUCUUAUGUUCUCACGAUAAUUGUGGUUCUCACUAUAUAUAUAUAUAUAUAUAUAUAUAUAUAUAUAUAUAUAUAUAUAGGGUGGGGUUAAUGUAGAAACCCCCCUUAAGAUGAAAACUAGGAACCAAUUAGAACCAUUGAUUUAGUUAAAAUACAUGGCUGAGAUUAAUUUGCAGAUGCACAUUUUUUUAGAUUAAUUUAAAUAUAAAAUAAAACUAAAGGGUAAAAAUGUAAUAAACAAUUAAAAGAAGAAAUCGAUUUUCACUAUGCACUCAGAUUUUCACUUUCAAUUUUACACUUUGACCUAGGGUUUUUUACACCAUAGUUAAAAAUCGACAUUGACGGCGGCGAUUGGGAGUGUAAUUCGAUCUGUGCAGAUCGACGGCCAUUUCCGGAGAAAGGGAGAAAGGCGGCGACGUGGGUGCAAUUCGAACCUCCGUUCUGUGCAGAUCGACGGCUAUUUCCGGUCGGAGGAUUUCAAAUCAGAAGUCGAUCUUUCGAUUUCUUGACGGCGGAUGUCGGCGGCUGCAAAUCAACGGCCAUUUAAGGGCGGCGGCUUUGAAACCGGAAUUUAGCGGCUUCGAUUCAAACCAGAGGACUUCGACGGCGGAGAUUUUGAAUCCGGGCUUUUAAAUUUUUAACAUUCAUCUGCUCUUUACUAUAACUUUUGCAUAUUUAGUUGCAUAUUUGGUUAUUUUAGUUGCAUAGCUUUAAUUUUGUUCAUGAUUCGUUGAAGAUUGUGUGUGAUUUGAAACAUCAUUUGCUUGCUUAUAGUUAGAAUUGCAUAGUUGAUUAUUUUAGUUGCAUAGUGUAAAAAAUCCCCCAUUAAUUGGUGCAUAGAUUGAAUUUGGCGCCUGGUUUGUUGUGAUCAAACCCCAAAUAUUUUGUUGUUUUUCCGAAAAUUUGUUGAAUAUAUUGUGUAAUGCUCGCCUGUUUGGUGUUGCACAGAUACACUUCUUAAGUGCAUAGCUGAUUUUAAAGUUGCACAGAUGCUUAUAGAGUUCAUUGCAUAGAUGCUUACCUUACGUGCUCAGUUGGGGCUUUCAAAACUAAUAUAAUUGCAUAGAUGCUUACCUUAUGUGCACAGUUAAGGCUUUCAAACCUAAUAUAAUUUCAUAGAUGCUUUUAUUACGUGCACAUUUGGUGUUUGUAUAUGAUUUUUGAUUUGGGUGCAUAGGUGGUAUGAUAUGGUGCACAUUCGUUUUAAUUGCAUAAGGACCUGCGUAAUUGCAUUUGUGCUGAAAUCGCAUUUGUUAUGGUGCACAUUUGUGCUCAAAUUAUGUGAACGAUUCCAGCUUUAACUGCACAUUUGAUUGAUAAAAAUGGAAAAUUGGAUUGAUUAUACUUUUGUGAUUUUAUCAUUGAUAAUUGUAUAUUUGAUUUCAGUAUGUAUGCGUGUGUGAGAGAUGCAGUUUAAGUUCUAUAAAUGCAUAAUAUUUUACUUAUUGGGGCUAUGGAAAAGUGUAUCAUUGUUCAUGAUCGAUAUGCAGUUCCAUUUAUAUUUAUUAGUUUCAUGGUUUGUAUAUUAGACAAGGAUGAACUGUGGAUAGGAUGUGUUAUAAGUUAAUUUGCUUUCUACAGAUUAGUUGAGGAAGCAGAACUUGUGUUUCAUGCAUCUGAAACCAUAUCAUGUUUUGUGGUAAUGCUUUUUUUGUUGCACAGCUCAUUAUGCCUCGUUCAAAGAAAGCACCUGCUAAUUUGGAUAACCAAGGGCGUCCGAAUGGUAUAUCGUGAAUAUUUUGAUUAAUUUAAAUGUCCCAAAUUAUAACAUAAAUGGGUUUUGUAUAAUUAUUACAAAAAGGGGUUAUUUUUUUGAAUUUUUAAGAAUUAAGUCGUGUCAAAUUUGGACAACAACGAAAGUUGGUGUAUUAAAAUGUAAAAUCCUAACUUCGCGUCAAAUAUGGAUUUUUGGCAAAGUUUGUGUAUUUAGGUGCAAUUUUCCCUUAAAUAAAUGGGAAUAGCUCCAAAAAUAAUGAAAAUGACGAUGCAAGAAAUGAGCAAUUUGGACGUGAUGACGCACAAGGUAUUAAAAACAUUUGAACUAUGUCAUUUGUGAUUUAAUUUUAAUUUUUCUUUGCAUGCAAUGUUAAAUAAUUCAUGUUGUGCAGUUAACGUGAGAAAAAUUAUCGAUGAUUAUAUUCAAGAAAAAAUGUCGAAAAAUAAAGGAAAGGAAAAGGAUCAAACGUCUUUUCAAGACACAAUCCGUAAGAUCUUUAACCCACAAUAUAUAAUUGGAAUACUAAGUAUUAUUCAAAGUAGGAUUCUUAUUUGUGCAACUUUUCCAAUCUUUCAGUGAAUGAGCUAAGAGUUGUAAGUGCUAGAAUGGGCGUUGUCCGUAAAAUGAAGGGAGCAUUCUGCAUUGAUGAUGAUGAUUUCAGUGGAGAUGACAUGAACAUUGAGAAAGGGAAAGAAAAAGUAGUGGAAGAAGCUACUGCACCACAACAAACAUAUCCAUGCAAUUAGAAAACAAACAUGUGCAAUCACAUGCACCACAACAUCUGUGCAUCGAAUAUAAAAAAUGUGCAACAAACUAUACUUAAAUAAAGUUGUGCAACAUAAACACAUAUCCAUGCACUUGCGAAAUUUAUGUGCUAUGCAAGUCAAAAAUUAAAUUAUGAAACUUAUAUAUAUUACAAUCAACAAUUGAAACAACAAUAAUUAAAACUGCAUAAAUAUAACUUUCUACCUAUUUUAUGAAUAAAAAAAAUAGUUCUAACAAAAAAUUAAGAUGAGGAAUAAAUUUCGAAACUAAAUCAUAGAAAUUAAUCUACAAGAAACAACAAUUACUAAAUAUUCAUAAAUACCUUCGUUGCCCAUUGUAUAUAAAAACUUGCUUCAACUAGCUUCAAUCAAAAUUGAUAUUAAAAAUAUGGAAGACUAUGGAACACUUAGGAAGAAAAAUGAAUGAGAAAAAAAAAAAAACAAGAAGUGUAAAAAACGAAGAAACCCUAAACUUGAAAAAAGAUUAGGUAAAUACGUGUAGCAUAGAUUUAGAAAACUGUUUAAGCAUCUUUUAAUUAUUUAAUAGUAUUGUAAAAGACACUACUAUUCUCCAAAUUAAUUACAAAAUGAAAACUCGCCAAAUAGAAACCAACUAAUCAAUAUUAGGUGGUUUUAAAUUUAAGAAAAUCUAAACCACUAGAUCUAAUUAUCCCAUGAAGAACACGAACCCGCUUGUACUCUUGCGGUCAUCACUAUCUCCAGCCCAAUCGAUGUCACUGUACCCGACAAGCUUAUAUUGAUUAGUACUUGAAUAGAACAGGCCAUAGUUGAUUGUACCUUUGAGAUAGCGAAGAAUUCGCUUUCGUGCCUUCACAUAGUGGUUGGAACCUCCAUCUAGCGACUUACGAGCCUUGUAGCGUAAAAUAUGUCUGGUCUUGUGCAAGUUAAGUAUCGCAGGCUUCCAACCAAGCUCUUGAAAAAUAUCAGAUCCACUUUUUCUCUUCCUUCAUUCUUGGAUAAUUUGAUCCUGCAUUCCACUAGCGUGUUGAUUGCUUUGCAGUCCUCCAUCUUGAACUUCUUAAGAAUUUCAUUGGCAUAUCCUUCUUGUGUGAUGAAUAUUCCAUCGUCAAGUUGCUUGACUUCCACGCCGAGGUAGUAUGCCAUUAGCCCAAUGCAUGUCAUCUCGAACUCUUUUGUCAUGGGAUCUUGAACUUAAUUAAUCAUUUUUGGAUUAUUUCCUGUAAAGAUCAGACUAUCUACAUACAAGCACACAAUUAAGAUAUCUUCUCUAUUGAUUUUAACAUAGAGGGCAUGCUUGUGUGGGCAUUUUUGAUGAAACUAUUCUUCUCCAAGUACUUAUAGAUCAUGCUAUUCCAUGCCCUUGUGCUUGCUUUAGUCCGUAUAGAGCCUUCUUUAACAUCAAGACUCUAUCUUCUUGCCCUUUCACUUCAUAGCUUAUUUGCUGCUUGAUAUAGACUUCAUUGUCUAUACAUACAUUCAAGAAGUUAAUUUACUUGACAUCCAUUUAGAAAAUCUUCCAUCUAUUAUGAGCUGCAAGAGAAAUUAUUAGUCGAAUAGUUUCUAGGCGAGCGACUGAAGCAAAUACCUCAUCAUAAUCGAUUCUUGCUCUUUGGCUAUAUCAUUUUACAACCAGCCUUGCUUUAUAUCUUUCAACUUCACCCUUGGAAAUUCUUCUUAACUUUAUAUACCCACUUGACUCCAAUGGCUUUGUGUCCUUCCGACAGUGUCACGAACUCCCAUGUAUCAUUCUUCUUUAUGGCUGGUCUUGAUCUCUUCAUCCAUUGCAACUCGCCAUCUUUGACUAUUUGCUUCUUCUUCAAAGCUAUAAUAGGUUCACAAUCAGCAAACAAGCAGAAUAAGGUGAGAUCUUCUAACCUUUCAGUCUCUUCAUAUAUCUCGUCCAAACUCUUAGCUCGUGGUGUGGCUCUUUCAUUUAAGAAAAAUGGUGGCGAGUCUUCAAUAACUAGUACAAGUGAAGCUGGCGGAGUCACUGGCUCUUGUUGGACUUCUCCAACUUGCUCGACUGUCCUUUGAUCUUCAAAUUGAGGGACGAAAGUGAAGUCAUCACUGGGACUGAAAUCCCAUACUCCUUCGUCGAACUCCACGUCUCGAUUUAUCACUGUUUUCUCAAUAUUUGGAUUUUAUAACUUAUAGCCUUUAGAGUUAGAUUCGUACUUGAUAAAGAUGAAUACUUCACUUUUGUCAUCGAGCUUCUUUCUUGUUUUAUCUGGUACAUGCAUGUAAGCUUUGCUCCCAAACACCUCUAGUUGGGAAAUUCCUGGCUUUCUCCUGCUCCAGGCUUCUUGUGAAGCCUUUCCCCAAACGCUUCUUGUCGGAGAUCGGUUAGACAGGUAUACUGCCUGAAACUCUUUAGGCAGAUUCUUCAUCUUUAGCAUGCUCCUUGCCAUCUCCAUGAUCGUCUUAUUUUUCCUUUCCACCACUCCAUUAUGUUAGGGGAUCUCGAAACUGUCAGAGGCCUUGAAUUCCAUUUGCUUCACAAAAAUCUAAAAACUCCCUUGAUGUGAAUUUUCCACCUCGAUCAAACCUCAAGCCUUAUUUGUGUCCGCUUCUUUUUCACCAGCUUUGAAUUUUUUGAAUGCUUCGAAUAUUCUGAUUUCUCUUCAAGAAAUAUACCACUUUUUCUCGAAAAAUCAUCAAUGAAAGCAGAAAAUAAUUUUUUACGAGGAGUUGGAUUUAUUGGCCCACGCAUGUCAGUAUGAAUCAACUCCAGUGGUUUUGGGCUCUUGAGCUCGACUCCUUUGGAAAUGGCUUUCUGAACUGCUUCCUGAGUAUACAACCUUCACAGAGUUGAUCGGAUGUUGAGGAUGGUAGUCUUUCACCAUCCUUCUUUGAUACAACUCCAACCCCAAAAUUAGGUGCCCAAACCGAAGGUGCCAUAACCAAGACUUAUCUUGUAACACGCUUUAGGCAUUUUGCAGUCAUUUCAAUAUUCAAUAAGAACAUUCUAUUUUUAGACAUUGGCACCUUGGCAAUAAGAUUAUUUUUUCCAUCUCUUAUUGAAAGGUUAUAAUCUUUCAUGUGAAUAUCAUAACCUUUCUCUAAGAGUUUCCAAGCUUAAGAUAUUAUUUUUCAUAUUGGCACGUAAUAGACUUGAAAUAAAUUAUGAUCCAUUCUUUAAUGAAUUAAAAUUUCCCUUUUCCUUUUACGAUCGAGAAUUUUAUAUUCAUGCCAAAGGAUAUAUUUUCCACUUACGACUCAUCAGCUCACGAAAUGCUUCUUUUCCCGCACAUUGAUUGCUUGCAUCGGUGUGGAUGUACCACGUGUCAUCUUGUCUUUCAUCUUCUCCUUUGUAUGUCAGAAGCAUACUACCAUUUUCUUGGUUUGUAUUUUGGGCGUAGUUGGCUUUUUCUUCUACCUUCGUUUUUCAUUUCUGCACUCGGGAGCAUAGUGCCCAAAUUUAUGGCAGUUAUAGCACUUUAUUGAAGAUUUAUCGUACUUCGACUGCGUGUUGCUUCUCCCUUGUCCACUUUUGAACUCUUUUCUUUCAUCAUUGUUGACUAAAUCUCCUCGUCCACGUCCACGACCUCGACCCAUGCCUCGAUCUUGGCCUUGGCCACGUCCUCUCCCGGACUGUCCACGACUAUUGCUCAGACCUUCUUCUUUAUCUUUUGAGCUUUCUUGCAUUUUCAAAAGUUGCUCCACUAUAUCUUAUUUCUUUUUCUAUUUCUGCUCAUAAGCUUGUAAUGAUCCCAACAAGAGAUCGAUAAUCAUCUCCUUCAAAUUUUUAGUUUCUUCAAUUGUUAUUAUUAUAUGCUCAAAUCUUGGAGUUAGUGACCGCAAUAUUUUCUCCAUAAUUCUAACAUCCUCCAAAUUUUCACCAUUUCUUUUCAUUUGAUUUGAGACCGUCAAACCUCUUGAAAAAUAAUCUGAGACCGAUUUGGACUCUAUAUAUCAUAUUCAACGACACAAAUUCUCCUCUUAAAAUUUGAAGUCGUACAUUUUUAACUUGCUCGGCUCCUUUGCACGCGUUCUGGAGCUUCGCCCACGCUUCUUUGGCGGUACUCGCAUUCGAGAUCUUCUCAAAAUCAUCGUCUUCUAGUGCUUGAUAAAUGAGAUAGAGAGCUUUCUUGUCUCUCUUUCUCACGUCUCGCAAUCUAUCCUUUUGUUGUUGGGAUAGUGCGGCCUCGUCUUGCAGCUCCUCGUAGCUGUUCUCCACGAUUUCCCAAACUUCGUGGGCUUCCAAUAGCGCCUUCAUUUUGAUACUCCAAUUGUCGAUGUUGCUCUUGUUGAGCAUGGGGACUUGAAACGAUCGAUUGAAGAUUCACCAUACCACAAGUAGAACCUUGUGGCUCUGUUACAACUUUGUUGAAAAUAUAGAUAUUAUAUAUUUGAGAGAAUAGAUAAUGUUGAAGGAUUUAAUUUGUGAGUAUGUGUAUAGUGUGUGUGGACGUGUGUGUGUGUGUAUAUUUUAAGAUAUUAAGUUAUCCUUAAAAAUUAAUAUAAGUAAUAGUAAUAAGUACAUUAGUUGGCAAGUCUAUUUCACGUGCUCAUUUGUUCAAACCCUCGCGGCUAUAAAUAAGUCUUGAAAAGUUAUAUCCAAAUCACACAAAACUCAAAAUAAUUUUGAAUUUGAGUUCUCAAAUUUUAAGGUUAUGGCAUCCAUCAAAAUCACAUUAUUUGCACUUCUAUUUCUCGCCAUUUUUACAUAUUCUAAGGCAACGCUGAGCCCUCUCAAAGAGACCGAAAUAACACUCUACUACAAAAUUUCUGCCGGUGGCCCGAAUGCGACCGUGAUCGAGGUCCCGGGCCCGUCAACCGGGCCCCUAAACUUCACUAGGUUCGGAGCCACGUUUGUCUCGGACACCCCGAUAACCGAAGAAAUCGAGGAAUUCUCGGCCCCAGUCGCUAGGGGCCGGCGGUUUUUUAUCAUAGCGGCCCUUGAUGGAUCCCAAAGUCUGUGGGUAGACUCGGUUGUGUUUAUCAAUGGCAAGUAUAAAGGCAGCACACUGCAAUUACAAGGCUCUUACUCGUUUAUGGAAGUGUCGGAGAUGGCAGUGGUAGGCGGCACCGGAAAAUUCCGUCGGGCCAGCGGUUACGCGACUUUCGAGACUGUUUACUUUGAUCCCGUGAGAAGCUAUGCAGUCCUGCAAUCUAAUCUGACUGUGCUACAUUAUUAAACUAUAGGGCAUGUUUGAUAGCCCUAGAUAAAGCAAAAUAGAUAAAUAAUCAUGUCUUAUCUAAGCGUUUGAUAGCAAUAUUGAUUAACAAGAAGGGCCCACAUUAAGCGAGAGGCCCGCUCUUAUAUCACUGUUCUACUGAAAAAUUUAAUAUCUCCUCCCCCUGGUAUUAUUUAUCUAAUUAUUAUUUAUCUAAGUUUUAUUUAUCACCCUUUAUCUCAAUUUACAUAUCAAACACACCAUUAUCAAUUUGAUUGUAUGCUUGAAAUAUAUAUGUGGCUUUGGCAUUUCAAUAAAUUUACGAGGUUAAAAAGACUAACAAUCAUGUUAUAUACUAGUCCGUUAUGCAUUGAGAUAUCCAGUGAUAUCCCACUUUAUGUCUUCCUUUCAAUUUUAUUUAUUUUCUUAUAUCCCUUUGUCUCACAAAAAUAUGAACAUCUGCAAGUGACACAGGUUUUAAAAAAUGUUAAACAAAAUUGUAUUGUAAGUGGAAAAUGAGUCCCACUUUAUUAAAAGUAGGGAUAAAAAGUAAAGGGUUUGUAGUGUAGUAGUGUACAAAAAUAUAAAUGUUCAUGUUUUGUGAAAUGCCCUCAAACGGCAAAAUGUUCAUGGUUUGUUGAGACGGAGGGAGUAUAUUUUUUUCUUUAAUUUCAGUUUUGUAUCAUUAAAUUUAAUUUUGUGAUUGUGAACUAGGGUUUAUUUCAUCUAAUUAGGGUAUUUCAUUAUUUUUUACUCAUUUAAUUUCAAUUUUGUUAACUAAUAUGUUUAUAUAUUCAAAGUUAUAGUAUAUAUUUUUAUUAAUUUUAUUUUUUUGAAAUAAAAGUUAAUUAUAAUUCAUACAAUUAGAAUUAAUUUUAUUUUUAUAAAAAUAUUGUUAAAACAAUAAAUAUAAUUAUGGGACGUAGUGGCACACAUAAAAUUAUGGGACAUUGAAUCUCAUUCCGUUAUUUAAAUGGUUGAUUGAAUAUAAAUUACUAAGCUUCCAAACAAUUCUUAUUUUACAUCAAUUUGAAAAUCUAUAUCAGUUUUUUUCAUAUUUUGCUAUCGCAACCAUUUUAUGGUCAAACUUAAUACUCCCUUCGUUCCAGUUUCAUAGUCUCUUAUUCCUAUUUUAGAUGUCCCACUAUAUAGUCCACUUUCUAAAUUAAAUUAGCAUUAAUAUUUCUUUUACCAAAGUAAACUUAUUUAAAUAGUCAAACAUAGAAUAAAUAAGGGCAAAAUUGAAUAAUUACACAUAGUUUGUAUUUUCCAAGCACUAUUUAUUGUAUUUUCUUAAUAUGUGUGAAAAAGUAAAGUGGACUAUGAAGGUGGGACGAAGGGAGUACUAAAAAUAAUAGUCUGAAAUUCUAUGUAUUCAAAUCCGUUCAAUACUAAAAUGACGCCGAUUUGCGAAGAUAACAAAAUUGGCAUCAAACCCAAGUUUUUCCAGAAAAUAGGAAAUAUAGUUAUAGUAUAGCCAUACAUACAAACCGCAAAUUAAAGCGGAAGCUGCUAUCUCAUUGCUCAUUAAUUUUGUAUUUUUUGUUUUAAAAAAUUAUUGUUCAAUGUCAAUUCUCAACAUUUUUAAUGUUAAAACCAGAUUUCCUUCACAUGUAGUACGAAUCAAGCUUGAAGUCUCUUUAAGUAUUUUUAGAAUGUAGAAAAACUAUGUCACAUAACAGAAAAGGAAAACAAAAUAAAAAUAAAAAUAGAGGUGAUACUUCUUGAAUUCUCAAGCCUCUUUCUUCUUUGACUUCCGGCGACUGUAUGGCCGGAAGGCUACCGCCGCCGGGCUCUUCCUUCCGCCUCGACUCACAAUAGCACGGCCCCAACAUAGUAGCCAGUGGGCGGAUCCAGGAUUAAACAUGGGGGGGGGGGUGAAUUUGUUUAACUGAUGGCAUUGGGAAAUAUUUGCACGGGGUUUAGCGGCGGGAGCCCCCGAAGAAUUCUUUUUUUAGUAUUUCGUACACUUCAUUUUCGUGCAUUUUUUUAACAGUUACUUAAUAUAAUAAAUAGUUGUUCGCAAUUCAAUUAAUUUAACAUCAAGAAGAUUGAAAGCAUAUAAAAAAGACAUACUUUUAUGCAUUUUUAAAAAAAUGUUUCAUCUCCUAAAGAUAUAAAUUAAUUUUCGUCAUUAUUAAUAGUUCGUAAUUUUACUUUUUACUUGAGGAUUGACUCAAAUUCAAUACUCCCUCCGUCCCGCUAAAAGCGGCCACGUUUGUUUCGGCACGGAGAUUAAGAAGGGGAUUGUUAUGUUUUUAAUUGAGUGUGACCCACCAAAAUUAGUGAGUAAUUUUUAGAAAGUGGCCUACAAUUGUUGACCAAAUUAGUGAGUAAUUUUGGCAUUUUUAGAAAGUGGCCUACAAUUGUUGACCAAAUUAGUGAGUAAUUAUUGACUUAAUUAAAAUAAACUUUUGCCAUUUUUAGAAAGUAGCCACUUUUAAUGGGACACCCAAAAAGGAAAUGUGGCCACUUUUAACGGGACGGAGGGAGUAUUAAAUAUUAACUAAGAAAGAAAAAUAGGAUAAAAAUAGCAUAAAUUUAACAAAUCAAUGUAUAAUUAAUGUUAAACAAUUAAUAUAGAUAGUUGGAUACUAUAAUUAUUAAAAUAAUAUAUUAUAUUUUCUCUUGUAUUUCUGGUGUGUAUAUACACAUAUAUAGAUUGUUAGUCUUUUUAGCGGACUAGUAUAUAAUACCCCACUAGUGUGUUUCUAUAAUUUGUGUGUUUUUUUAUUUAUAAAUAAAAAUAUAUAAAGGUCCAUAUAUAUUUUUAUAAUUCUAUUAUUCUUUUCAUAUUAUUAAAAUAAUAAACACCUCAAAUAAAAUGUUGAAUAACUUUAAUAUAGAUCUCAUAUAAUAUAAUUAAUUCUGUUUUCAUAUUUCCAAGUCCAUGUAGGACAUUAAGUUAAGACUAUGACCCAUAUGGAUUUCAUAAAAUCUAAAAUUUUAUUAGAAUAAGCUAAGACUAACCAUGUGAAGUGAACUUCACUACCAUCUUAUAUUUGUAAAAAAAAAAAUGAGUAAUUAGCCCAUAUUUUUUACGUGUAGAUUUAGAAUACCACACAAAAUAAAAUAAGUAUUAAACAAUGCAGUGGCCCAUUCACCAUUUCGGCCAAGGAAGAGUUUUGAGAAAUAUCAAUGCUAACUCUUUUUGACUUUAGUUUGAAACAAGACGUAACGAAUUUUGUUUGGGAUACAGACAAAUUAAUGGACGUUCAUAUAUAUAUUUGGUGCGGUUAUAGUGAGAACCACAAUUAUCGUGAAAACAUAAGAACCAUUAAAAUUACUGCAUCUGCUAUAUAAAUUAAUGCAUCCGCUAUUAAAUUUAAUGCAUCCGAAAAAAAUAAAUUUUUUGCUCUCUUCAAAAUUCGAACCCAGGUUUUGCAUUCAUCCAUCAAUAUGAUGCAUCCACCGUAGAUUUUGAUAAUCGAAUAACUUAAAAUAAAUGUCUAAAACAAAAAAAAAUAACGGUAACGAAUGUUAAACAUGAACGGUGCUCACAUAAGGGGCUCAUAUAAUAUAUGUAUCAUGCCAUUUAUCUAUCUAUAUAUAUAGAGGGGGGGUGGUUAUUCAAUAAACCACCCUUAUUUUAAGAAUUACAAACCAGUAAAAAUGUAUGAAUUUUAUGUGUAACACGUAUGAAUUCACUGUAUAAAGGUAUGAAUUGCGAAAAACAUUUUUUGCUACCUUUGGGAUUCGAACUCAGGACCAUGAAUUCAUCCAACAGGGUGAUGAAUCAAACGUAGAUCUUGAUGAUCUAAGGGCGAAAAAAUGGUUCAUAAUUUAUAUUUUUAGACGCGUUAAGUUUUUAUUUUAGCCUUACCCUAUAUAUAAAAGAAGAAUGGAGAACCAUUUUCAGCCAUUCGAUCAUCAAGAUCUACGGUGGAUGCAUCAUCUUAUUGGAUGAAUGCAGAUCCUAGGGUGUGGUUCUAGAGAGAACUAUAUUAUUUGUGAAAACCAUCAAAUCUAAUGCAACCAUUGUAAAAAUUAAUGCAUUCGCUGUCAAAUUUAAUGCACUCAAAGAAAUAAAGAAAAAUUGCUCCCUUCACGAUUCGAACCCAGGAUCUGCAUUCAUCCAACAAUUAAGAUGAUGCAUCCACCGUAGAUCUUGAUGAUCGAAUGACUGAAAAUAGUUCUCCGUUCUUCUUUUAUUUAGUGGUUUCUGAACCUUAUAUAUAUAUAUAUAUAUAAGAUUUUUAUUUUUAUUUUUAUUAAAUGCAAUUUUACUUUUUAUAGUGUACUACACAUUGUAGAGAAGCCUAUAUUUUUUAAUGUGUGAUUCAAUACAAAAUCAAAUAUAGUGUAACUUCUCUUUUUAUAUGUACUGCACAUUGUAGAAAAAUAUAUACUUUUGAUGUGGAAUUUAAUACAAAAUCAACUUAAUGUUUAAUGUAACUUCUUUUUUAUAAUGCACUACACAUUGUAGAGAUUUAUAUAUAUAUUUUCGAUGUGGGAUUCAAUACCAAAUUAACUUAAUGUAGCUUCAAAAUAGUUGUAAUUGUAAUUUUUAAUUUUUUUUAAUUAUUGUAAAUUUCAAAUUUACAUUUAAUGAACAAAUUCACAACCGCCUCCAAGAAAAUUUAAUCGAGCAUAUUUGAACACGAUUUUUUCCUAUUCAAUCAUAAUUAAAUUAAUGUACUUUUUAAAAUUAUACUCCCUCCAUCCACGAAAGAACUUCAUAUAUUUCCUUUUUGGGACGUCCACAAAAGAACUUCCUACCUAUUUUUGGACUAUACCCCACCACUUAUAAUCCUAUUACUUUUCAUUUUUCACAACUCUCAAUAUUAAUUAUAACACAUUUUCACCACUCCCAAUACACUCAAUUACCUUUUAUCCACUCUUAAUACACUAAAUAAUAUUUUUUUCUUAAAACCCGUGCCACGAUCCCUCUUAGGAAGUUCUUUCAUGGACGGAGGGAGUAAUUGAUUGCUUAUAAUACACGAACUAUACCCAAAUUUUGGAUGGAAAAUUAAUAAAUGCAAUAGCUCAGUGACCUUCUGUUCUCAACACACGUACCUCAAGAGUGGUAACACCUACGACAUUGCAUUAUUGAUGUACACAUUCAAUAAAACUAAUUCAUCCGUACCUUGAAAUUUUGUAAUUAUUGACACAGAGCUUUGCAUCAAAUUUUAUCUACCUUGUGUCAACCAAAUUAGUUGACAAUGCUCAAAUAUAAGAAUACUAUAUGGGCUCGUUUACUGCGUCCUAUGAAAUAAUGUGUGAUGUUUUAAUUAAAAUGUCUAUUAAUUUAUUACUAGAUAUCAAUAUUAUAUUUGUUAAGUAUGUUGGUCAAAUAGUAGAGUGAUUAAUAUUUAAGGUUAAAUGUCUUAGGUUCGAAUCCAUCGUAACACUGUCUUUAAUUUUUUUUAUUUAAUACUAUUACUCUAUCAAAAAAUAUAGGGUUAAUUGUUGAUACUUAAGACUCCAUCAGAAAUUCCAAAAUUAUGCUCCUAUAUUCCUCCCUAAAGCUUCCCUAUUUAAUUUUAGGAUCUCGAUUUUAUAAAUGUAUUUUCUACAUAAAAACGGUAAUUAUGUGUGGGCCCUACUAAUUAUAAGCUUAAAAUAAAUUUAGGGUGAGUGUAAAUUUAAGAUUGAAUUUAGGUAGGUAUAAAAUUUUUGUGGGUUCCAUCUAAUUUAGGGGAUCUGCUGAAUGCAUUUUUUAUCUCAUUUUCAAUUGUUUUAGCCUAAAUUUAGAGUUAGUGAUGCAUUUAGGUGAUCUGCUGGGAGUGCUCUUAUAUUAUUGAAUUUUGGUCAUCAGAAGUGGUAAAAAAAGACAUGAAAGCUGACGUCAUAAAACUCUAUAUUUUUUUUCCGACCAUUUUCGGUGACCAAAACCCAACAAUAUAGGUUUCAUUAAAGAACUACUAUCAAGAUGUUUUCAACAGUAUCUUUGAUUGCUCAUCGGAUUUCAGACAAUCAAGUUAAUUGACCAACAGACUUUUGGAAUUAGAUCAAAUUCCAAAAGGUUAGAAAUUUAUGUAUUUUCUAACUAAAAUAAUAGUUGGUAACUACGAAAUCAGCUUCUAUUUACAAGACUUGCACUAGAGUCCUUAUUCUAAGCUUAAAAAAUUGAGUGGGUGGGAGAUCCCUUACAAGCCAACUUCCUUUGUUUCUGCUUGGCUUUGCUCCAUCAACUUCCUGCGCAAACCAAAGGUCGCCCAUAUGACGCUUGGAAUGACGUUGUUUAGUUGUUGAUGAUAAAUAUACAUUUUUGUUUCUUGGUGUGUCAUAUUUGUUGUUCAGUUGUACGGAUUUUGUGUAUUUGGUGAUUUAUUUGAGUGUGUAUUGAUUUAUUGUCGAAACUUGUUACUUUCUUGUUGUUUAAGCAAUUUUUCAGGAUUAUUGAAGUUUAAUUUGGUAAAAUGAUCUAAAUGGAAGUUGAAUUUAAUCUCGAUACAUGUCUAUGAGUGCAAACGGAUUGAAAAUCGGACUUCGGACAAAGGAGAACAAGUCAAAACAAAAUCACUGUGCAAAGCUGAAAACACCAUGCGAUCGACACGCACGCCCGCGCCCGGGGCCGCGUGUUCGCUUGAUUUUGCGCAUUUUUUUGUGAUUCUUGCCUAUUUUUCAAUUCUAUAUGGGGUUGACCUAUAUUUUGAGACAUAUGGCAUACAAAUACCUUCAAGAAGCAUACUGAAAAGACACUUGCCUAUUAUUCAUUCCAAGAGAGUUGGAAGAGACGAUUCCAUUGAUGAUCAAGAGCAAAAACUGAAGAUUCAUUAUAGACUUUACGUUUUAUUUGUUGAAUGUUUUUAUCUUUGAAUAUUGUACAGUUGUACUAGUUUAUAUGUCCAUGUGUGACUAGUACACUUUUAUCCUAGGAUUUUGGUAGUAAAAGGAUGAUUGUUUUAUGACUUUAUUUAAUUCUAUUAAUCAAUACUUGUUCAUCUUUUUAAUGUUUGUUCAUCCUUUUUAUGUUAUUGUGCUUAUUGUUUGCUUAGUUGGUUGAUCACUAAUUUUGCAUGAUUAUUGGCUUUAAUUUGAUAUCGGGAUAAAAUUAUUGUUAUUUGAACUAAGAAUAUGAAAUAUACUUGUCAAUAUUAGUCGAAGGAACUUGAGCCUUGUGAGAAUUUUAAUCCUAAGAACUUUUAGGAGUUAUAUGUUUAAGAGUGAUUCAGGGAUGUUACCAUUGCAUGUAAUCCACGAUUUGUAUGACACAGGAGUGAGUAUAGACCAAUUUUGAGAUUGUUUAGAAAGAACUUGUCAUUGAUUAUUUGAAUUGAAUUUGUGUGAUUUCCUGAAUUUGUUGAAACCAUAGUUCUGGGAUAUUUUUUAUUCAUAAGUUUUAUCUCUUCUUGCUUGCAUAAAUUUAUUUACGCUUUCAUUUAUUUUUAUUGUUCAAAUUCAACUCUUAUUUUCUGUCAUCCACAUAGAGGAUAAUAGUUUAGGAUAGUAAUAUUUAGUAAUCAAUCUGCGUGGAUACAAUUUUGCUUAUAUAUAUAUAUUUAAAUGGGACUAAUGCAUGCACUACACUCGCCCUAGUGCAGAGACAAGGGCCGACACUCGAGCAAUGGGACGCGGGAUUGCCACCCGGUGCUAAGAAGCAGAGUUGAGAUGCAAAUAAGAGCCCAGAUGCAAGUGCUCUUAGCACAUUUGAAAAGUAAAAUGGGCAUUCAAAUUAUUUAAUAUAAUCCCAUUUACUCACGCAAAAUAAAAGAUUUUUAAUUUUCAAUAUAAUUCCAUAUACUUCCUCUGUUUUUUUUAAGUGCAGAAAAAUGAGAGAACUUUUGAAAUAGCCAUUUUAAAGAAACACAAUAUUUGAUCACUAAUUUAAAAAACACAAAAUCUGAUCAUUUAUUACGUGUUAAGACUGUUUUGCCCGUAAUUAGGGCGGACUGAAUUCAGGUCGGAUUCAAGUUUAUGCACGGGUUAGGCACAUAUGACAUUAUUGAUGCCAUAUGUACCAACCGAAAAAAAAAAUUAAAAAAAAUGUAAGUAUAUGACACUAAUGACACUAAUAUGACCAUAAGUACCAUUCGUGCAACAGUACAUACGAGAAUAUAUAAUACUAAAAUAUGGCCAUAAGUACCAUUCGUGCAACACACUAAAUGGAGAAUUUAAAUCCAAAAUGGAUAAUCUAAAUCCUAAAUAGGGAAUUUAAACACUAAAUGGAUAUCUAAACCCUACGGGGAAGUGUUCAAAAUGGUCAUAUAAUUCUACCAAUCUAAAUAAUAUCAACACACAUGUAUAUGACACUAAUGUCACUAAUAUGCCAUAAAGUACCAUUCGUGCACACUGAGUAUAUGACACACAUGGCCUAAUAGUGCCAUGUGUGCUAACCCGCCGCAAAUCAAUUCGACCUGAAUCUGGUUCGCCCUAAUUAAGAGCAAAACAUUCUUAAAAUGUAAAAAAUGGUCAGAUUUUAUGGAGUAUUUUUGUAAUUAGUGGUCAAAUAUUGUGUUUUUUUUUUCUCUUCAAAAUGGCUAUGCGAGUAUAUUGUUUCCAGAAAAAUUUACAUGAGUAAUUGUUUUCUUUGUUUGAAGGGCUUUGUUAUUAUUAUAAUACUAAUAAAUGGUAAAAUUGGAAGAAUGUGGUAAUUUUUUUUGUGAAUUUUAAAAUAAGACGUUUAUUAAGAAACAAUAAAAAAAAAAAUCAAUAUGGGAUACUUGAAAAACAAACGGAGGAAGUAUGAAGGAAAAUGGUAGUUUAUCAUUCAUUUAACAAAGGAUUGUGAUAAUAAGUUUUGUUUUAGAGACAAAUAUAAUGAAUUAUUACACCGUUCGGCAUUGUUUUACAAUUAUUAAUAUUAUUAAUAGACACACACACACAGGGCCGUUUCUGACGAAAAAUGGGCCCAGGGCGAAACGAUAAAAAUGGGCCCUCUAUUCACCAUCAUAACAACACAAAAAACACUUUUUUUUAAAGUCAUAUUAUAAUAUUUUGGUAAAAAAAUAUAUUAAUAAUUAUAAAAAAAUGACUUAUUCUCACCUUUUUUACUUGCAAAGUCAUCUAUAAGAACAUUUGUUUCAAUAUUUUUUAAGAUAUAUUUUUUAAUACAAAAAAUUGCUAAACUAUUUNNNNNNNNNNNNNNNNNNNNNNNNNNNNNNNNNNNNNNNNNNNNNNNNNNNNNNNNNNNNNNNNNNNNNNNNNNNNNNNNNNNNNNNNNNNNNNNNNNNNNNNNNNNNNNNNNNNNNNNNNNNNNNNNNNNNNNNNNNNNNNNNNNNNNNNNNNNNNNNNNNNNNNNNNNNNNNNNNNNNNNNNNNNNNNNNNNNNNNNNNNNNNNCACACACACAAAUAUAUAUAUAUAUAUAUAUAUAUAUAUAUUACGAAAAAAAUGAAAUAUUGGUGAAAUUCGAGGUAAAUACCUCUUGUUAGAGAAUAAUUUUGUAUAUCAAGAUUAAAUUGUAGAGGUUGUGAAAGAUUGUUGAUGAGUAAAUAUGAAGAGGCGUGUGAAGUUUUAAUAAAUUAUCAUCGAUUUUAGGCUUGAUUAGGUUGUGAAGGUGGCAAGGACAUGUUUGGCUGUUAAAUUUGUAGAGAAAAGAGAUGAGCUACUUUGGUUCCGUUGGCCAUUUAAGUGCAGGAAUAAAUGUAUCAUUACUGGGUAGUUGAAUUGGCACACUGCACGCGGCCUACAUUUAAUGCCUCUCUCUCUCUCCAAUUUUUUCACGUUACAUACAAAAAAAAUACUCCUACAAUCUUACUAGGUUAUAUUUCUGAUCUAAAUAUUAAUGGAAAAAAUGAAUGAAAAUGGAGUAGGACAUUAGUAUCCAAUUAAAUGAUUUUGCUACGUUGACAAAAGUUGCUUCCUCCGAAGACGAGUUACCGUCAAACUUUGGAAAAGUCUGAAAAUUACGUAGUUUAAUUGGACGAAUUCCCUAAAUAUAAAACCAAAUUGAUGCGAUGUAACCAAAGAAAAAUAUUACUUCAAUCAAGGAAUCUUCGAGUUCGACUGGUUCCAUUUUUUAUUUAUUUAUAUUUUUAAUGUAAUUAAUAAUGUGCGUCGUGAUGUAUUAUGUGGUAUGAAAGAUGAGGAGUACUGUUUUGAAUAUUUCGGUUAGGAAUUGUUAUUUUAUUUACGAAAAAUAAUGUUUUCAAUCUGUUGAAAUACUCGUUCAUAAUUGCUUUGGUCAAAUACCUACUAAACAAUUAUUGACUUCAAUAAAAUAUAACUGGAAGACGCUUAUAAUUUAGUAUCGAAAGAAUACUCCUACAACACUAAUUAAAACGCAUUUUAAUUGUCUUAGAUCGCACAAUAAAUUACUACUAUAUCAUUAUAACAUUAUCUAUCAACAACUCAUUUAAAUAAUACACUUAUACAUUACACGGUUCACAAUAUUCCACCGUACAAAUAAUUUUAUCGUAUAAUAUUAUCUAUAAAAAAACUUAUCUAAUAAAAUUUUUAUUAGUCGAAAAGAUUGUUCGGGGAAAUUUGAACACUACAUAUCUUAAUUAUUUAUAUUUGUAUAUAUUUAUUAAUUGAACAAUAAUUCAAGUUUUGAAUCUAAUUUAUAUAUAUAAAAAAUUGGUAAACUUUUCCUAAGAAUAUUUAAGAUAAAAUACAUUUUUAAUUUUAAUAUUGUGACUGCUUUGUCCUCAUCUCCGGCUCAAUUUGAUCCAAAUAGAUAAAGGAUGCAUGAUUAAUUGGGUUGUGUACAAAAUCUAUAAAAUUUAUGUUUUGGUACAACAAAUAAUCACGGUUGUGGAUCAUUAAUAUUUCAAGGAUUAUAUUUACUAAGCUCAUUUUCUUGUAUGUUAUUUUUGAAUUGAGUUCCAAUUUGGAUUCAUCCAACUGGAUAUUGGACGCUGAUGUUAAAUUUGGAAGCUUGUGAUUAAAGCCCAUAAUUUGUAAAUUCGAAUUUUCUCUUACAAUAUUUAUCAGCAGAACAGAAUUAACGGAAAAUCUCAUAUCCACAUGCUCUACUCUCGCCAAGUAAUAAAUGGAAAAGGAAAACAAUUUAAUUUGUAUUGAAUGAUAUUUAAAACAAUAUUUUAAUCCAGCAGGAUGGAAAAAGCCACAUACUAAAUUCAAUUAAUUACGAGAAAUUGGUUUAUCUCACAUCAAAAUUUACGAAAUGCUGACGUUACGUUCAUCUCUGGGAAAGAAUAUAAAAGCCGGAGGAGCUUCUCUACUCGUCUUUGCUUUUUAUGUUUUCCAUUCCAUCAACUGUUACACCAAAAUAAAUAUAAAUAUAAAUGUAAACGUAAAUUCGUAUCUACAUCUGCGCCUAUACAUACAAAAUAUCCACCAGAAUCUUGCAGAGCGUAACGUAAUCUAGCCGGAGCUUGAGUUUUGGGUUGACCGUUGGCUGACUUUUCGUAUUGGUCUCACCGGAGCUUACAAAUCUACUUUUUCAGUUGAUUGUGCGAUGACUAGACUUCACUGAUCGGAGGCAAGAUUUUGAAUUCUCCGGCAUGGGGCAUUGCUGCAGCAAAGGCGUCACCGUUUCCGUCGACAAAGAGGACCUCUCCUCCACCAACCACCGCCGCCACACCUCCCGCAUCGGGAUCGCAGACGCCGUCCGCCAAUGGGGCGGCGGCGCGCACGCCGGCUCAUUCCUUCACGGCCAGCCCAUGGCAGAGCCCCUACCCCGCCGGCAUCGCGCCCUCGCCGUCUCCGGCGAGGACUCCGGGAAGGAAAUUCCGGUGGCCGCUGCCUCCGCCGUCGCCGGCUAAGCCAAUCAUGUCGGCGUUCAUGAAGAGGCAGCCGACUCCGCCGCCGGCGAAGCCCAUACCGGAGGAGGGCGGCGGGCGCGGAGAAGGGAGCGAGCGGGCGCUGGAUAAGAGCUUUGGGUACUCGAAGAAUUUCGCGGCCAAGUAUGAGCUGGGGAAGGAGGUGGGGCGAGGGCAUUUUGGGCAUACUUGCUGGGCAAAGUGUAAAAAGGGGGAGAUGAAAAAUCAGCAGGUGGCUGUCAAGAUUAUUGCCAAAGCUAAGGUUCGUGCAAUCAUGAAAAUCUUAUGUCUCUUCAAACAUUUAAACUCUUCUUUCAAAUGGGAUCAUUGAUCUAAAAGAAUGAUUUUUUGUCAGCUUAUACUUGCAAGACAUAGUUAUUAUUGGUGUGAUGUUGUUUAGUUCUGCAAGAGAUCAGGGUUGCCAACUAAUUGAGUUCCUAAAUGCAGAAAAGAUUUCCAACAUUAGUUUAUAGUAGUAGUAGGACAGUAGCUGGGCGAACCCUAAAUCAUCGUAUACUUCUAGUUUGAAGCUUAUUAGUGCUAUACAUAGCAAAAAAUGAGAUAUAGGAUUUCUUAGAUUCCGAACAUUCUUGAAAAAAGAUGGAAUGUGAAGGGUUAUGUAAGUUGCAAUUGAUAUUUCAGGUGGUUCGGCUAUUUCUCUACAUUCUUGCAGACAUUUUUCUUCUUCGUGAGCACUACAAAGAAGGGUGGAGACUCUGUAGAUUAAUGUGUUUUUGUUUUUAUUGGUCUGAUGAGGCUAUGCUUGUGAUCACAGUGCACAAACACUUGCCUUUUGUUUUGUUUCAGAGAAUUAAGUUGCUUAUGAAAUGAUGAUUAAUUGGCAGAUGACAACAGCAAUAUCGAUUGAAGAUGUUCGAAGGGAGGUGAAGAUUUUGAAAGCUUUGUCUGGACAUAAAAACCUCAUCAAGUUUUAUGAUGCAUUUGAAGACACACAUUAUGUCUAUGUAGUUAUGGAGUAUGUUGUUCUAUUCUUUUCUCUUACUGUUAGAUUAUGAAUUUCAAUUAGGUCAUCUGUUCGGUACAUAUUCUCGUGUGACGUUUAUGAAUUGUAUCUAUGCCAUAUUACUAAAACAACUCUCUUUCGACAGAUUAUGUGAAGGGGGUGAGCUGCUGGAUAGGAUUUUAGCACGGUAAUUCAUGAUGAAUAAUCAUCUCAUAUAAUAUGUUAAGCAGCUUGAAUAUAUUGGUUCCUCUUCCUCUACAUUGCAGAGGUGGAAGAUAUACGGAAGAGGAUGCAAAGAAAAUCGUCGUGCAGAUGUUAAGUGUUGUUGCCUUCUGUCAUCUACAAGGCGUUGUUCACCGAGAUCUGAAGCCCGAGGUACUUAAAACUUGCAUUUCAUGUUUCAACCUAGAAUAAUAAAGGAGGAUUUAUCUAUUCAUUUGGAGGUUUAAACUUGCUCAUUCGUAUAUACCCUUGCAGAAUUUCCUAUUUGCCACAAAAGAUGAAGAUGCUCCAAUGAAGGUCAUUGAUUUUGGUCUAUCUGAUUUCAUUAGGCCAGGUAAAGGUCCCGGAUUUUGCAUUCGAUUUCUUCCACCAUUGUCAUAAGCUUCUAGAACUCGCUUUGCUAACACUAUUCAUGAGAAGUUUUCCUUGUAUUCUGCGUUGAUAUAUAAUAGUGCAGGAUAUUUAACGUCUCAAUGAUGUUGUUGGCAGAUCAACGUCUCAAUGAUAUCGUUGGCAGUGCAUACUACGUUGCACCAGAAGUACUUCAUAGAUCAUACAGCAGUGAAGCAGAUAUAUGGAGCAUCGGUGUAAUAACAUACAUCUUAUUAUGUGGAAGCAGGCCUUUUUGGGCACGCACCGAGUCAGGAAUCUUUCGUUCUGUUCUACGAGCUGAUCCCAACUUCCACGAUGCACCAUGGCCGUCAGUAUCUGCAGAAGCCAAAGAUUUUGUGAAAAGGCUGCUUAAUAGAGACCACAGAAAAAGAAUGACUGCUGCCCAAGCACUUUGUAAGUAUAUAACUAUUUGCAGUUUUUGUAUUCAAAACAUGAGUUUUUAGGUGAUGGAAGUCGAUACAUUUCUGUUUCUGUGCAGGUCAUCCAUGGCUAAGGGACCUUGAGAUCACAAUACCUUUAGACAUGAUGAUCUACAGAUUAGUGAAGUCGUACAUUCGAGCCACUCCUUUGAAACGUGCAGCCUUGAAAGUAUGCCCUCGUUGCAUCCUCUGUGUAUUUGAUGUGAUUGAUUCUGGUCAGAGAGAUGACACAUUUCACCGUGUGCAGGCACUUUCGAAGGCUUUGACAGAUGAUGAGCUCCUUUACCUUAGAACUCAAUUCGAACUUCUGGAACCAAGAGAUGGCUGUGUCUCUCUCAAUAAUUUUAAAACAGUGGGUGCUUUGUUUCUCCUCAUUUUUCAUAACCACUUGUAUUUGGAUGAUUCGAUAAGUGUCUUAUAUUUCAGGGUCUCAUGAAAAACGCAACGGAUGCCAUGAAGGAAUCGAGAGUUGCAGACAUCUUGAAUAUGGUGAGAGGUUCUCUUCCAUUAAAAUUCCAUGGUUUUGAUUCUAAAGUCUGUUGAUGGAAUUUGAAGCUGGAGCCCCUAUCCUAUAAAAAGAUGGACUUCAAAGAGUUCUGCGCCGCCUCAAUCAGCACUUAUCAGCUGGAAGCGCUUGAGAAAUGGGAGGAUAUCGCGAGCGCAGCAUUUGAGUAUUUCGAAGAGGAGGGAAAUCGUGUUACUUCUGUCGAGGAGUUGGCACAGGUAACCAACCACCAAAACUCGCUUAUUUUGCCAAACACUUUUCAAAACUCAUAAUCGACCAUAUGUGUUUCAGGAGUUGAGUUUGGGUCCCACUACUUACUCUCUUCUCGGCGAUUGGAUCAGACCGUUGGAUCGAAAACUCAGUUUUAUUGGGUUUACAAAGUUCUUGCAUGGCGUUACCAUCCGCACCUCAAAUACCAGACAAAGACAAUAAAUAACCACAUUGCUCUCUCUCUCUUUGCUUCCUUCAACAGCUAUAAGAUUGCUGUAUGUUUUGUUCGCUUUGGGCUUCUCAAACAAGUUUAUUUGGCCUUUGGGAAGAUGCACCACAGCCUCAUGCUCAAAAAUUACAAGGAAUAUUUUAUUUUACACGAAUUUCUCAUUGUUUAAUUUGCUGUCUCCUACCUAGUAUACUUAGCUUUGGAAAAUGUCGAAAUAUUCUUUGUUUUUUUCUUUUUAGAUGCUCUACGCUCAUCAACUUCUGUUGUAUAACUUCCGAUUUUGUCGAGGACUAUUUUCUUUUCUAAGACUUGUGUAACAUGAAAGAUACCUAGCUUCAACAUGGAACCUUUUUGUAAAGUGACGAGGGAGAUGUGCUCGAGUUUUAUGUGAUAAUAUGAAUAUUUUGCAUAAUUUUCUUUUUAUAGAAUUUGAUUUGAUUCGUCCAAUGGAAUGUAAUUAGAUCGAGCUUGGAACACGCCACUUUGAGAUCCUAGUGAACAUGUCAAACUUUGGAUUGUUUCUUUGCGAAUUUAAGAUUUAAAAUAAUAAUUGGGUGGUAUCUAGCUGUCAGGUUUGCCUUUUUUGUGUGUUGAGAUUAUGAGAGUUGAAACGUUGAUUAGGAAAAGUUAAUUGAUGGAUGGUUGAGAAAAAUAUGAGCAAGUGGGAGUGGGGUAUCAAAGUCCAAGAAAGAAGGGAAGGAAAUGAUGAGGCAUUAUUGUUAUUAUUAUUAUUAUUGUAUAGACUAAAUAAAAUAGGCGGUGCCGAUGUAUCAGCCCUUUUCCCACUUAUACGGGGAUUUGGUGCUAAGCCUAUUUAAUUAAGUGUCAAGUCAAAAGCGAAGCUCUUUUCUUUGGAAAUUAUGCUUAAUUUGGUACAUGCUUUCAUUACUUCAUUUUUCCCACAAUUCACAUUCCUUUCCUUCUAUUUCAUGUUGCCCCAUAUUCAAUUAAAGAUCUGCCAAGCCCUUAAUAUUUUUCUUAUCAUUAUUUUAAUUAGUGCGUAAUGUCUAUAAAGAGAUCAUAUUCAAACUGAAUUUUUGAUAUAUAAUAAUAAAAGUUAAUGUAAUGUAAUAAAUAUAAGGUGUAUUUAUAUUUUCCUUAAUGUAAAGGUAAACCUAUCAGUAGAUUGUUGGUGUGAAUAAAUUCUCCGAAUCACGUACGCGUAGUUGGUAUCUUAUUCCUUAUUUAAAUGUCUGCAAUUACGGUUCUUCACUUAGUACAAAUCUUAAUCGAUAAGUUCAUUUAUUCAAUUCUUAUCUUUUCCCUUUUUUCUUCUUCUUUUUUUUUUAAAGAUUUAUUCAAUUCUUAGAUACAUAAGAUUUAUUCAUUUCUCUUGCUCCCUUCAUCCAUCAAAAAUAUAUAACUUUCGCUAUUUUUCACAUUUGUGAAAAAUAUGUACUUUUCUUUUUAGGAUAUAGCCCUAUAAUUUUUCCUUAUUUUUAAUUCUUACAAAUAUCCCUUAAUUAAAAAAUAAAAUAAAAAUCACUCAUUAUUCAAUUUCAAUCACUUAUUUUAUACGACAUGGAACUAUUUUUUUACCAUAUAAAAAUCAUCAAUCGUUUUAUUAAAAAUUAUAUACUCAUUAAUCAUUAUUAAAUUUCAACCACUUAUUUUAUAUAAUGGUGGAACCAUUUUUUUACUAUAUAAAAAUCAUCAAUCAUUUUAUUAAAAUUGUGUCAUAAGACUCAUAACGCAUUUAAUUUCGCUAAAAGGUGGCACCCUGUAUAUAUAUAUAUUUGUACAGAAUAAUUAAAAAAAAAUAGCAACUACGUAUGUGUUUCCGAGUACGAUUUAAUCUUGAUUUUAUCUUUUAUUAGGGGAGGGUAGAAUGGUCGGGUUAUGACGAAGAUCCAACGUAUAGAUAAUAGGUGUUUACGGAAAUAUUAGCACAAGAUAACUUUUUUUCUGGUAUUAUUAACCAAACAUAAAAUUAACAUUAUUUCAUGUAUAAAGGAGAAUAUGUUUGCUCCUUUUGGAGUAAUUCCAAUCUUUUCGUAUUCAGCGUUAGUGGACAAUGGCAAAUUGAAUCGAAUCAAACAUUAUCGUUAAAGUGAGUUUGAGAUUUUGUAACAUUUGAAGAACUCGUGAUCUGAGAUUUAUUUAAUUAUCAAGUACUAUAAAACUUAAAUAAACGACUUGCAAAAUUGAAGAAUAAAAUACAGAUAAAAUCAUAAAAGUUUGAAAAAGAAGGGAUGAAAGUAGAUGGAAUUAAAACUGGGCACGAAUUCGAUUAUCAACACCAAUCCUUGUUUGAUAAAAAUCAGCAAUACGCAUACACCUUCAAUUCGAAUACAUAUGGAUCAAACCCUAAGUCAAGAAGAAUUAGAAGGAAGAAUCACAAUCAAUUCAUAACUAUAAUCACCAAACAUAGUGAUCAAGCUCCGAAGCACAAAAACUGGUGGUGAUGUGUAUGGUGAUGGUGGUGGUGGUGGUGGUGGUGAUGGAUGUGGUGGUGCGAGUGCGACGUCGCAUCCUGAUCAAUCAAUCCCCUAACCUGACGAAACUCCUCCACGUGGCAGGGGAUAUUGAUUGGGCCUUUCUGAUCGAAGCCGUACUCCUCCUCCGCCUCCUUGAGAAGCUCCGUGAAGAGCGGGUGGUUGACGUACAUCACCGGGAUCACAAAGCGCUGCUGCUCGGCGCCCUGCCCCACCGUAAUCGCCACGCAUCCCUUGGGGAUGCCCCGCCGGCCGUGAUGGAGAUGAAUCUGCGGCAUGUGCAGAUGGAAGAUCAGGUGACCGCUCUUAUCUCCGCCGCAGCUUCCCAUUUCAAUUAAAAAUUUGGUAUGUACAAUUUGAACAAGAAGCAGAAAAAGGAAAAAUGGGUCGAGAUCAAGAGGAGAAGAGAGAGAAUGGCCAAGGAUCGGAGGCGGAGAUGGCGAGUUUGAAGCGCGUUAAAGCGGAAUCGGUAAGGGAUUUGGGGAUGUUGGUCAUGAUAUAGGAUUGAAGCGCAUAAGAGAGAUAUUUGGGGUGGAAUCUGGAGAGGAGGAUUGGAGUUGUAUUUAUACACGAUUUCUUAAAGUAUACGCGAAGCCAGUGGGGCUUCUAGUGCUGGAAGAAGGCGGUAGGAUACUUUGCUUCAAAGUAAAAACGGGGAUUUGCCGUGUCUAAUAUUAAUAUGCCUUCCUAAUUCCAAAAAAAAAUAAGUAUUGCUGUAUUAAUAUGCC